rnacentral:lncRNA from 1 species
ACUCCACAAAUGAAGAAAAGAGCACAAAUGACGUUGGCAAACCUGAAACUUUCCCAUUGGGCAAUAAACAUUACUCCAGUCAAAAACAUUAUGGAAGAGGCAAACCUGAAACUUUCCCAUUGGGCAAUAAACAUUACUCCAGUCAAAGACAUUAUGGAAGAGGCAAACCUGAAACUUUCCCAUUGGGCAAUAAACAUUACUCCAGUCAAAGACAUUAUGGAAGAGGCAAACCUGAAACUUUCCCAUUGGGCAAUAAACAUUACUCCAGUCAAAAACAUUAUGGAAGAGGCAAACCUGAAACUUUCCCAUUGGGCAAUCAGCAUUACUCCAGUCAAAAAAAGUAUGGAAGAGGUGCUUCUCCAUCCGACAAUCAACCACCAAUUCCAUAGAAAUUCAAACACGGCUACUUUCUUGCCACGAGAAAGCGCUCAAUCGAUCCCCUUCUCCUCUAACAAACUACCAGAAAUUUUCAACCAUUUUUCAGUGAAGCCAACAUCUGAGGAAGCCAAAACAAUUAAGCAAACAAUCGAAGAGUGUGAAGCUCCAGACCUUAAGGGAGAGGAAAUAUAUUGCGCCACAUCUUUAGAAUCAAUGGUUGAUUUUAGCACUUCGAAGCUUGGAACAAGAAACGUUGAAGCAAUCUCGACGGAGGUAUUGGAAAAAGGAGCCACCAUGUCCAUCCAAAACUAUACAACAAUGCCGGGACUGAAGAAGUUGGCAGGUGACAAAGUCGUUGUGUGUCAUAAGCAGAACUAUCCCUAUGCUGUGUUUUUCUGCCAUGCAAUAAAACAUACAGCAGCUUAUGCUCUCUCCCUGAAAGGCGAUGAUGGGGAGAAGGUUAAAGCAGUAACCAUCUGCCAUCUAGACACAUCAGAAUGGGACCCAGAGCAUAUGUCCUUCAAAAUCGUCAACGUUAAGCCCGGAACCAUUCCCAUCUGCCAUUUCAUUUCCACUGAUGCUAUUGCCUGGGUUCCGAACCACAAAUCUGCAUGAUCAUCACUUAGCACUAGUACUGUGCGUAUAAUAUGCCUGUAUAAUUAUCUCCCUACUUAUUUCUGCCUGUUCAUCAUGUGGUGUAAGAUAUAUGUUGAGAUGAAGUUUUUGGGAUUAGUGGUCGAAAUUAACCCGAUCAUGUUUUCUCUUGUAACUAUAUAGACUUCAACUUGUACUCAUAAUAAAGCAUGCUAUAUUUAUGAAGAGAUAUUAAUCUUCAGGCAAAUAGAUAUUAUGAAAACAUAUAUAGCAAUUUAUCCAGAAGAAAUAUUAUGAAAUGAAAAGAAUAAAAAGUAAAAAAACAGAAGGAAAGGAAUUCGCACCUGCUAUGUAUGAAAGGACCAAGAUUGUUUUCCCUUUGGUUAAUGACUAGAAAAGCUCACUUGCAGAUUGCUUUCUCUGACCGUAGAUGCAACAGAAAUUUUCUCUUAAUAAUAGCACAAUGAUCGGGUAAUUGUAAGAACAAGUUGAUUUAAAAUUCCUUGACCCAAAAAAAAAAAAAAAAUCAUUUCAAAUUCAGGUCAACCCAUAGAUUUCUUGCCUUUUUCUUCUUCAUCACGUUGGGCUUGUCUUCUUCUUGAGGAUUGUAUAGGCCCAGGAAAUGCUUUGAGGUAGUUUUUGGCCUUGGAAGUUGGGACCCAACCCAACUUCACAAAAAGAAAACAGAUUUGCCAAAAAUCAAAUUUCAAGUCUCUCCUCAGAUCACUAAUACAGAUCAAAUUUUGGAUUUGAUGAACUAAAGUGGUUUUACUUUCUCUGUCAGUGUUUGAUGACUUAAUUUGUUAUUUACUUCUUUUUUUUUUUUUACUUGAUCUUUGUAGGGGUUUUUUUCUUCCGGUAACUUAAACGGGCUGGGCUGCCGUAAAGGGUAGAUUGAUGAAAUUGUCUCCUUUGUCUGAGUUCGAAAAUCAAGCCCCAAAAGCGCUUCGAAAGGGCAGUAGAGCCUUAGGAAGCGUUCUAGUCAUCUUCACCAACUAAAACAACAGCAACUUACAGAUGAUUUCUUAAGGCUUACAGAUAAAUUUUCUAGCUUGGCAUGAGAGGCUUGUGACAUGGAAGCAAAAUCAGCAUGAGUUUAGCACCAAAGAGGAAAAUAUGGCUUCCUAGGGAGAAAUGGGAGUGUUUAAGGUGAGGAAGAAGAGGUUUGCAGGCUGAUUUGGCUGAGGAGAGAGAAAGAAAGAACAAUGUUCUUCCAGUAGCUUGACAAAGCUUCUGACAGAUGUGAAAGUCGUCUGCCAUAAGAGGAAAAUGAAGAAGAAUGGUGAAUAGUGCAUGAAAUUGCUGGGUUUUUGCAGGUAAGAGAGAAAGCUUGCUCUCUGAAUUUGAGUUGGUUUUUGGUUGGGUAGAAGAGGCCCCCUUUUAUAGCUGCGGGAAACCAUCUUUUUUCAAGAAACCCUAAUGGUUUCUAUCCAUUUUGGCCAAGCUUUUCCCUUCAUUUCUCUUCUCCUCCCUUGACUUUUCCUAUCUUGGUGAAAUUUCCUCUGCCUAUUUGCACAAAAUUAGAGAUUUUGAGGAGCUCAAGACCCCUUUCCCGCAGCUGCCUCAGUGGAGAAUCCCCAUUUUCAGUCAUCUUUCUUCCUUCUUUUCUCCCAUCUUCCAAGGUUAGGUCUGAUGAGGGAAAGAAAUGGGUAUGCACACUGGUUUGAAGGGUAUUUUUGCUUGAAACUUGUUCUCUCCCAUGUGCUGGAGCUUCCCAGCAACUUACACACAUGGAUAUUUUGGCUUUCAUCGUGGCUUUUGUUUUCAGCUAGGUGCUGGAGAUUUCGCAGAUAUUUUCAUGAGUUGCUUGGGCCUUCUAGGACAAUAGGUUGGUUUAUCAAGUGAAUGGGCUAACUUCAUCAAUUGUUGGGCUAUUUUGGUUGAGUUAAUGGACUAUUUUGGUUGAAGUAAUGGGCUAUUUUGGUUGAAUUAAUGGGCUAUUUUUCUCUCUUUGUGCUCACCCACAUAUUUGGGCCUAAGAAAUGGGCUUGAGUUCCGGGGCUCCCAAGCAACCCCGGGACUUCCAUUUCUCGGCCCAUCAAUGGGCCUCAUAUCAACUUAUUACCAUCCAUAUCACAACCCACUCAAGCAAGCCCUGGGCAUCUUGCGUGGCUUGGGCCCACUUAAGCUUGUAGCGUGACGUGUUGCUUAUUUGCUUGGCAUGGCAUGUGUGCAAGCGCAUAUGACGAACUUUAGCGUGCCCAAAUUGGGUUUAUUCUCGGUAAGGUAUCGCAUUGGGCCGAGAAUUUAAUUGGGCAGAACUGUGGAUUUUUGGGCCUCAACAAUCUUAUAUAUAUUGGUUUUCUUUUUUUCCUUAAUAUUCACCACCUUUCUGUUGCAUAAGUAUUUCAGUCUUAACGGGUUUCCAUCUACCACUCAUCUUUGCUCUUUUAAGUGUAAGCUUUUUUUUUUUUUUUUUAAGCACAAGAUUAGAGGGGAGGGGGAUUUCUCAAUGUAAGCUUUGCAGUUUCAUAAUUAAUAUUUCCAAUAUCUCACUGUUAGUAAAAUAUGGAACAGGAAAAGUAUGAAUAAAAUACACACAUGUUUUAUUUAGCAAAAUUUUGACAAGAUACAACUGAAAAGUUUGGCCACUAUAUAAUAUUUUGAUAUAAUUUCUACACUUCUUCUCAAAAGAUUAGAUCACUUCACAUCUUGUGUAUGUGAAAACUAAUGUAAAAAGUUGAAACUUUAUCGUAAAACCUCGACAAAAAUGAGCUCUACUAGAAAAUGUUCAAUUUGGAUUCGUUGAUUUAAAUGGCAAUUUGACACUUGAUAGAAAUUUUUACAUACAUGUGUUAGUGUUUGAUCACUUCACAUGUUACUUACUAUAUUUAUUCCACUCAAGUUAGGUAAAUAUUAUUAUCAAACAUUUCAAUUAAUUUGUGAUUUUUUUAUUAUUUAAUCAAUUAUGAAUUAAUGGAUUCUUCUUGUUGUUUUGAAGACCAAUAAAAAAAAAAGGGUAAGGAUGGCUUAUAACUCUGAUAAAACAACAGUGACGUGGACAGCAGAUGUUACACCGUACUGAAGAUUUUUGAAGAUUCUUUAUUUGGGUUUCUUUCAAGAUGAAAACCAUAUUAUCCACAACCACAAUGAAGAAGACAGAAAAUGGAGUAAUUCAGAUGUUACCAGCCAUCCACGACAAACUGAAGUCUGCAAAGCAUUCGUAAUCUAAAGGGAGACUUUGGAAAAGCCCAAAGGAGAGAGAAAAUUUUUAAAAGAAGCAAAAAUGGACAAAAUUGCCCUUAUUUAUUUUUUGAUUUCCUAAGAAAUCCUUUACAUUUGCAUGUCUUUGGUUUGAAAGUUGAGAGGUUAUUCUGUCUUUUUUCAAAAAGCUUUGGCUUUUUCCAAAAGUGAAAGUUUUUUUAUGGGUAAAACCUAAAUUUACUUAAUCCCUAAAAAGGAUGGGGAGGCUGCGCAAUACUUAGCCACGUGUAGGCCAGGAGGCUUUCCAAUUUUAAUAUAUAUAUAAAUUGAAAAAAUAAAAUAAAAAUCAAUCUAUUAUCCUAUAUAAAAUAAAGAUUAUUGCUUCCAUGGGCAGUGCUAUGCACAGGACAGUGCCUGCCCAGCACAAAUUUUUUUUAAAUAAAAAAAAAAAAUCUACAUAUGUUAUAAGCUCAUCCAAAAAAAUAAAAUAAAAUAAAAGUAAAUUCUACAUAUAUGUUGCCCAUCUAGGUGGUUCCAUAUCUUCUCUCUCCUUCUCUUUUGGCUAUUAGACUUCUUGUUUCUCUCUCUCUCUUUGCUACCUCACAUCAGCAAGUUUCUCCCUCUCUUUUUUUGGGGUCAAAUUCUUCCUCUAUUGACAAAAUCUUCUAUUAUCUUGGGUGGGCAACUUGGCAACAACAUCUUCUCUUCUCCUUUUGUCAACAACAAGUAUUAUUCUCAUUCUCUCAUUUGCUAUAUAUCUUUAAUUAUAGUUUUAAUUUAAAAUUGAGUAUUCUAGGGUUUAAUUAGGGAUGAAUUAUAAUUUUAGAAUUUUGUUGAAAUUAAUUAAGGCUUCGAUUAGGGGUGAAUUAUUCUACUGCUUUGGUUUGGAAUUUUGUUAAAAUUGAGUAUUAUAGGGUUUAAUUAUGGAUGAAUUAUAAUUUUUGAUUUUGGUAUUAUUGAGAUGUUAUUAUGAGAAUUUGUUUCAUUUUUUUAUUGGUAUAUUUGAUUAAAAUUCUUUCUACAUAUUAUUCAUAGGCUAUCUUUUAUUAUGUCGGAUCACAAUCGGAAUCCCAAGAGAACAAAGAAUUUGAAUAGUGUUGUUUUGUAUUGCAUUGCAUUUACUUUUGGUUUUAGUUUUGCUUUUAGUGUAAAUUACUCAAAUGGUCCUCAAAUUUGUACCCGAUUUACAUUUUGGUCCAUAAACUAAAUUAUUCAUUCAAAUGGUGCACCAACUCUUUAUUAAUCAGUGCUUUGGUCCUACCGUUAUGUUUUCUAUUAAAUUUAGUCAUGUGAGCAGCACAUGCUACAUUUGUAGGGGUAAAUAAGACUUUUGACCACUUUAUCACCUAUGUAUCACCACUUUAUAACCUAUUUGGAGAACAUAGGUCAGUUAUGGACGGUUUUACAAUUAUAUUUGACGGCAACAUUAACAUAAUGUAACAGUGGGAUCAAUGGAGCGAUUAAUAUAGAGUUGAUGGACCGUUUGAACGAAUAAUUUAAUUGAGGGACCAAAACGUAAAUUGAGUAUAAGUUUGAGGACCAUUUGAGUAAUGUACCCUUCGCUUUUAUAUUUGUUGAACUUUUAUUUAUGGAUAGAUAUGCAUUUGAGGGUAAGACCCAUUAUGUUCCCCCUGACUUGGUGUAUCUUUUUAUGUUUAUUAAUGAAAUUCACUCGAACUGUUGAGUUUAGUAUGUAAGUUUUGCCUAACCGGCUUUUGAAUCCUAGAACCGCCACUGUUGCUCCAUCCUCCAUGCACUUGCAUGUGCUCUUACAAAGUGUGAAGUAGAUUUUGUGUGCUCCAAGUCAUUGACUAGAGCUGAAACAUGGUUAGCUAGAUUUAUAAGGACCCAUCUCUCUAUUUCCUAGACAUAUACCCAUCUCUCUAUAAAUCUAUAUGUAAAACUCAAUUUCAAACUUAAAUGACCAGUAAGAUAUAAGAGGUCAUAGUAUUCCUAUGUUUUUACAUCGUUGCCACCAGACUUCUUAUUUUAUUUAUAAUUUAUUUCAAGCAUUUCAUUAACUGCCAUAAUUGUAAUUAAUACUCCAUAUUAAUAGCAUAUCAAUCACCCCAUUUCUUUUGAUUGCCAUUCCCUCUAACAUAUCGCCCCUUAAAAUUGAAAACCAAAAAAAAAAAAAAUGUAAAUUACAUAUCCAAUAAUGUACCUAUGAAAAAUAUAAAUAUAAAUAUAUACGUAUAAAAAUAUAGGUUUAUUAUUUACCAAAUAAAAAAUAUAAAAAAACUAGGUCAGUUGCUUUGUAAUUGAAAUUUCUAUACAUUUUCCACAAAUUAAAAAUAGGUACACAAUAAUUUAUAGAAAAUAUAGGUGCAUUAUUUAUCCAUAGGUAAAAAUACCUAUAAAUGCACAUAGGUAAAUUAUUUACCCAUAUAUUAUUUUUUUGCUAAGGAUUUACCUUAGUUUUUAGUAGAUUAAUUUACCUACCUAGAGGCAUAGGUAGCUUAAAAAAAUUGUAGCACCUUAGUUGGUUGCAUACUAAUUUACCUACCUAGAGGCAUAGGUUGCUAAGAAAAAAUGUAGGUAAAUUCAUGUACCUAAACACAUAGGGGUCAAAUAGAGAAUAACAUGUUAUUUCCCUUCGAACAAAUUAAUUUCAAACCAUAACAAUAAUUGAAUUCGGAAAUUGGUAUAAAUAAAAGGAAAUAAAUAAGCUAUCAAUUUGAAAAUUAAAAUAAGAAAUGAUCAAGUAGUCAUAUUUGAAAAAAAAGAAAAGAAUAUAUUCUUGGUUUUUAUAGGAACAACGUGUAUAUUCAAACCAAAUGGCAGUAACUACACCAAGCUUUAAUUACUUUUUUUUAAGGCCAAAAGUCACUUUUGGUCUCUGUAGUUUGACACUUCUAUUACUUUUGACGCUGUAGUUUCAAUUCCGUCAAUUUUGCCAUUGUAGUUUCAUAUUUGUAGCAAUUCAAGGACAUGUUAAUAUUAAUGUCAAUUUGUUUAAUGAUGCAAGGGGUAAUUUCGUCAUCCCAAAAUCCUUGAGCAUAAAAGCUUGUCUGAAAUUCUCCCCAUUUCAUAUUAGGGCUCGAAAUUCAACCACUAAUCCCAAUUUUUGAAGAACCCUAUACCCAAAUGACCAAUUUCAAGCCCUAAUAACAAAUUAGGGAAGUUUUAGAUGAGCUUUUAUGCUCAAGGAUUUUGAGUUGAAGAAAUUGCCCCUUGCACUGUCAAAGAAAUUGAUAGGAAUACUGACUUGUCCUUGAAUUGCUACAAAUACAAAAAUACAGGGUCAAAAUUAACAGAAUUUAAACUAUAUGGUCAAAAGUGGUUAAAGUGCCAAACUACAAGGACCAAAAGUGACUUUUAGCCUUUUUGUUUAAAUAAGGAAAAAACUUACCUAUUAAAUCCUUGGAAUCUAUACAAAAUUGAAACACAGUUAAUCAGCAUUGAAUUGCAGCUAAUUUCUUAAACAAGGGUAUUAUAGGAAUUUAAAAAGUAUAACAUUUAAUCCAUUGAGCUUGAUUAGGAAUCUUGAUGAGUUGGAUCCUAGUUAUAUAGUUUCUCUUAUAAAAAUCGGGUUUUAUUUAUAGACAAAUAAAACAAUGGGUUGUAGGUAAGAAAAUAUUAAUUUGAAGGGAAAGUGUCACAUCCUGGGAUCGGCUCCGCCGUAGCACGAUAUUGUCCGCUUUGGGCCCCCCUCUCUGCCCGCACGGUUUUGUUUCUGGGAGCUCACGAGCAACUUCCCAGUGGGUCACCCAUCCUGGGAUUGCUCUGGCCCCCAACUCGCUUAACUUCGGAAUUCCUAUGACUCCGAAGCCAGUGAGCUCCCAAAAGGCCUCGUGCUAGAUGGAUGCGGGUGUGUACAUAUAAGACACAUCACCCCCUCUCCGUUGGUUGAUGUGGGAUCUUACAGAAAGAGUCAAAUUUACUAAAUUAAUAAAGCAUAAAUUGGAAAGGGAAAAGAUCUAGAGGAUGCAUUGUAGGAUUGCUCAUGCCAAUAAUUGCACCCUCUCGAUAUUGAAAAACCUAUUGUGUAUUAUUAUCUUCAAUCAUGAAUGAUGCACCUAAAACCCAAGUGUCCCAAGCCAACCAUUGCGCUCAUACCACUUGUUGCAGUACACAUUCACCCGUUUUUAAAGAAAGAAAUUCUACCAAUCGAUAUUGUCUCAAAUUUAAUCACAUAGGUCUAUUAUGGUUAACCAUAUGUACUUUUAUCGGCCAUAUAGAGGUACCUUUUUCCAACGUGCAACAAUUGUAUUUGAUUCACAAUUAUGUCUGAUAUACAUCACAUCAUGCCACUUGCCUCAAAUGAAUUUAAUUGAGUGAGGCAAUGGGAAGUAAUUAAGCUCUAUAUUGGUGGGUGGAGUGUUACUUCUGGAACCCUCAUCAUUCGUCCAUACAAGGGAACAAUUCCCUUCCUUCUAUAAAAUGGUGAAGCCAGUUGCUAUUGUUUGUUAGAGUUUUAGGAUCUGAGUGUUAGAUUUUGUGAGAAGAGAGAAGAGAAUUUAGUGAAAACUUCCAAUACUGCUCUGCUAUACGUGUAGCAGAGAGAACAUUCUGUUUUGUUAUAUAUUUUCAGUACAACAACACACACUUGGUGUGAGAAGAAAAAUGACUGUUAUGCACAGUACCAGCUGGAUGCUUUCCAUCAAAGUAAUCUCAGCCAUUCACUAUCUAACCAAUCAAGCUAUGACACCUGGACUAAGUAUAAAGAAAUACAACUAAGCAGAAAACAAGACUCUUAAUCCUGAAAUCAACUUAAGCACUUAUAAUUCAACACUCCCCUUUAAGUCUUGAGGUGAUUUCACUCCAAGCAUGCCUCUGAGAUAAUUGAAUCUGUCUUUGGCCAGAGGUUUGGUAAAAAUGUCAGCCAAUUGUUCAUUUGUAGGACAAUAUUCCAGAUUGAUUACCCCUUCUUGCAAUGCAUCCUUGAUGAAGUGAUACCUCCUGUCAAUAUGCUUUGUCUUCUGGUGGAAUACAGGGUUUUUAGUGAUUGCAAUUGCUGAGAUAUUAUCACAAUGCAAUGGAGUAGCUUCAGUUUGAAGCUCUCUAAAGUCUUCUAGCACAAAACGGAGCCAAAUAGCUUGAGUAGUAGCCUCAGCUGCACUGAUGUACUCAGCUUCUGCAGUAGACAGUGCAACACAGUUCUGUUUCACUGAGGCCCAAGAAAAUACUCCACUUCCAAAACUAAACGCAUACCCUGAUGUGCUCUUGCAAUCACCAACUGAUCCUCCCCAAUCACUGUCACAGUAACCAACUAGAAUUGAUCUUUUGCCUUUCACAUAUUCAAGACCAUAGUCCAGAGUUCCUUUGAUGUAUCUCAAAACCCUUUUAGCUGUUCCAUAGUGUCUAUUUGUAGGACAGUGCAUGAAUCUAGCUAGCAAGCUUGAGGCAUACAUGAUGUCUGGUCUUGUAGCAGUUAAGUACAGCAAGCUACCAACAAUGCUUCUGUAUUGUUCUUCAUUUGCAGCUCAACUCCCAUCAUCCUUAGCUAGUUUCUCAGUGGCAACAAGGGGUGUUGUCACAGGUUUGCACUCAGUCAAACCAAACUUGCUCAACAAGGUGCUAGCAUAUUUCUUUUGAUGUAGAAAUAUACUAGACUCAGUCUGAAUAACUCCCAUGCCAAGAAAGUGAUGAAGUAAGCCCAAAUCAGUCAUCUCAUACUUAGCCAUCAUGUCUUCUUUGAAUUCAGCCAACAAUGCUUGACUGCUCCCUGUAUACACAAUAUCGUCUACAUAGAUAGACACAAUUAGAAUCUCCUUAUCUCCCCUUACUUUGGUAUAUAAGGUUGUUUCACUUAAGCUUUUCACAAAACCACAUUGAGUGAAGUAGCUGUCUAUCUCUCCAUACCAAGCCCUUGGGGCUUGCUUCAGACCAUAAAGGGCUUUAUGCAAACGAUAAACCUUGUCUUCUUUACCUUUAAUUACAAAACCUUCAGGCUGACUGACAUAAACUUCCUCUUGCAGCACACCAUUAAGGAAAGCAGACUUCACAUCAAGCUGGAACAAUUUCCAAUCCUUUUGAGCAGCUAGAGCAAUAAGUGUUCUAAUGGUGUCCAAUCUGGCUAUAGGUGCAUAAGUCUCAUUAUAAUCCAGUCCAGGCUUCUGAGCAUACCCCUUAGCCACUAAUCUUGCUUUAUUCUUUUGCACUGAGCCAUCCAAAUUCAGCUUUGUCUUGUACACCCACUUAACUCCAAUCACUGGUUUUUCAGUUAGUCUAUCUACCAAUUCCCAUGUUUCAUUCUUUUCAAUCAUCUGCAGUUCAUCUUCCAUAGCCUUAAGCCAAGAUUCAUCCUGAGCAACAUCAGCAUAUUUUUCUGGUUCCAUGAUACACAAGUUACACUGAGCUAGAACAUCAUCUAGCCUUCUCCAUUUUAGAGGGGUGUGAUCAUAAGCUUGAGUUCUCCUUUCUUCACUGCUUAUAUCACCUGGAGUUGAUGAAAUGCUCUCUUGCAUAUCCAAAGUUUGAGGUGUACCAGUAGAAUUCUCAUUAGAACUGUCAGAUUUCAAGUCCAAAUCAACUUGGUUUUCAAUUGAGUAUGUUGUCAUAACUGAACCAUUUUUGUUUGUCCAAUGCCAAGCAUUUUCUUCAUCAAAUGUCACAUCCCUUGAUAGUAAAAGCUUGUUAGAAACAGGAUCAAAAACUCUAUAUCCUUUUUCACAAGUUGCAUAUCCCACAAACACUCCCUUUGUACUCUUAGGAUCCCGCUUGUGUCUCAAUUCAGUUGGCACAUGAACAUAACACAGAGAACCAAACACUUUCAGAUGUGCAAUUCCAGGCUUCCUUCCACUAUAUGCUUCGAAUGGAGUAAUGUUGUUGAGAGCUUUGGUAGGACAUCUGUUCAGCAAAUAGAUAGCUGUAUGCACAGCUUCUGCCCAUAGGAAAUAAGGCAUUCCCUUCUCAUGUAACAUUGAUUUUGCCAUCUCAAUGACAGUUCUAUUCUUCCUCUCAACUACUCCAUUCUGCUGAGGAGUAUAGGCCAUUGUAAGCUGCCUUUGAAUGCCAUUAGCUUCACAAAACUCCAAAAAAUCAGUAGACAUAAACUCUCCACCCCUGUCACUUCUUAUGCACUGAACCUUGUGUCCAGUUUGUAAUUCAGUCAUGGACUUGAACUUCUUGAAACAAAAGAAGGCUUUUGACUUGUUUCUCAAGAAGUAUACCCAAAUCAUUCUUGUGAAAUCAUCUAUAAUCAGCAUGAAAUAUCUGUUCCUUGCAACAGACUCAUUUCUCAUGGGACCACAGAGAUCCACAUGUAUUAGCACUAGUACUUUGCUUGCUCUUUGAGCUUGAUCUUUUGGAAAAACAUUUCUGUGCUGUUUUCCAAAUUGGCACCCGUCACACACACCACUUUGUUCUUCCAAUUUUGGUAAACCAUGUACCAUUUCUUUAUCACUUAGCUGCUUCAAUCCUCCAAAAUGCAGAUGACCAAAUCUCUUGUGCCAAAUCCAUGUGGAUUGAAGAAAACUAGUCUUCAUUAGUAACUGUUUUUCAGCUAGAAAAGAGACAGGAUAGCAUCUGUUACUCUUCAUUUGCACCUUUAUGAUGAGAUAAUCCAUGGAUGGGCUAUCAAAUACCCUGCACAUCCCUUCUCCAAACACUAGACAGUACCCAUGUUCAUCCAUCUGCCCAACACUUAGCAGAUUUUCUUUCAAUCCUGGCAGAUACAUUACUUCUCUGAUGUAUUUCCUGCCCUUUGCUGUAUCAAUACUCAGUGAGCCAAUACCAGCUACACUCACUAAUGCACCAGUUGGCAUUUGUACUCUCCCAGCUACAUUAGUUCUCACAUCAACCAGCAAAUCUAAAUUUCCUGUCAUAUGAUUGCUGCAGCCACUGUCAAUGUACCAUUCAUUGGUUUUGAUCUCAGUGGUUGAGCAAUUGGCAUAAAACAGGUUUCCUGUAACCUCCAUUUGAUUUACACAAUUAGCCUUCUGCACAUUUUUGCUCACUGUACAGUCUCUAGCAAGAUGUCCAACUCUGUCACAGUUAUAGCAUUUUGGUUUUCCCUUAUACCUGCACUCACCAAAAUGAUGCUUUGAACACACCUUGCAUUGAGGCUUUGUGUUUUCCUGAUUUGAGAACUGUGUUGAAGUGUGGUUCUGUGCAGAAUAAUUAUUCUGCUGUGUCUUGUCUUUUGCCUCCCAUGACUUCCCUUUAGAGUUCCAGCUUCUCUGUGACUUAGAUGAACCAGACUGAGAAGCAUUUUUGUUCUGACCCUUUGAAUUCACAGUGAAUGAGGCAAAUGCCUUCUCAGCUGUAUCAACACUAUGCAUUUCAAGCCUUUGCUCCCGACUCUUCAAAAUGGCAGUUACUUCCUGCAAAUCCACAGUUUCUAGUGUCUUUGUGUUUUCAAUCACAAUGCAUAUAGGGUCAUACUUCUUACUUAGACUAAUUAACACCUUCUGAACCUACCUCUCAUUUGACAGAACUUCACCAAAUGUUUUCAUUUGGUUAAUCAAUUCAGUUAGUCUAGUAAGAUAUUCAGAUAAGGUUUCACUAUCACGCAUCCUACUGUAUUCAAACUCACGUCUAAGGUUUUGAAGCUUUACCGAUCUAACAUGCUCUCCACCAUGAUAUUCUGAGUACAGCAGAUUCCAAGCCAUCUUUGCAGAGUCAGCAUUGGCAAUUCUGGGAAAAAUCUGAUCAGAAACAGCAUUUUGAAUGAUACCCAAGGCCUUCGCAUCCUUCAUGAGAAUCGCAGCUGUUUUCUCAUCAACUUCUUCUUCUGAACCAUCCUCAGAUUCCUGCUUCGUCUUUGAAUCUGGGAUUAAAAACCCCUUCUCUACCAAACCCCAUAAACCAUAUGAUCUGAAUAUGGUUACCAUCUUAAUCCUCCAAAAUUCAUAGUUCUCACCUGAGAAAAUGGGGAUUCUAGCCUCUGAACUUCCAGAUCCAGCCAUUACGAAUUUCAGAUUCGCCUGGAAACAAGAUGUUUUCAGAUUUGACCCUUGAUCGAGCUCAAUCAGCUUCGUGAGCUUAGAAUGAGCUCACCUCGAUCGAUUUUCUUCACAGAACAACGCCCAGCUUCAGAUAAUCAAACUUGGCUCUGAGGCCAUGUUAGAGUUUUAGGAUCUGAGUGUUAGAUAUUGUGAGAAGAGAGAAGAGAAUUUAGUGAAAAUUUCCAAUACUGCUCUGCUAUACGUGUAGCAGAGAGAACAUUCUCUUUUGCUAUAUAUUUUCAGUACAACAACACACACUUGGUGUGAGAAGAAAAAUGACUGUUAUGCACAGUACCAGCUGGAUGCUUUCCAUCAAAGUAAUCUCAGCCAUUCACUAUCUAACCAAUCAAGCUAUGACACCUGGACUAAGUAUAAAGAAAUACAACUAAGCAGAAAACAAGACUCUUAAUCCUGAAAUCAACUUAAGCACUUAUAAUUCAACAUUGUUACCAUAAGAGCCAGCUCCGACUUUCUUUAAUUUCAGUCCUAACGGGGUUUCAUCUUCCACUCAUCUUUGCUCUUCUCAGUGUAAGCUCUGCAAUUUGAUUAACUUUCCCAUUAUCUCUCACUGUACUCUAUAUAAAGGAAUAAGUGUCGUCCACUAAUUAAUUACACUUUGUGAGAUUUGAUUUUAAUUAGAGUUCGAAUUGAUGUUGCAGCUAGCAGCGGUGGCACUGGCAAACCAUGCUGCUCAACCAGCACCUCAACUUUACUGGAACUCCGUCCUGCCAAACACACAAAUGCCAAGAGCUAUCAGUGAACUUCUGCAUCCUGGUUUGUGUUGAAUAAAUAUAGUAUGUUACUGGAGUACGUAUGGCAACAUAUUCACAAAUGUGUCACGUAUUUUCCAAUAUGACGUUGAUAUAUAAUUGCAGACUCCACAAACGAAGAAAAGAGCACAAAUGUCAUGAAUGCUGUUGGGAAUGGAAAGCCAAUUGACCACAAGGGCAACCUGAAAAUACUGUACUACCACAGCUUGCACGACGCCCAUUUUCUUACAAGAGUGAUGAUCGUCCCACUGACAAUCAACUCCAUUAUAAAAACGUAGCUAUUUUCUUCUUGGAGAAGGACAUGCGCCCUGGCACAACAAUGAGCUUCCAAUUCCCUAGAAAUUCAAACACGGCUACUUUCCUGCCACCAGAAAGAGCUCAAUCGAUCCCCUUCUCCUCUAACAAACUACCAGAAAUUUUCAACCAUUUUUCAGUGAAGCCAACAUCUGUGGAAGCCAAAACAAUUAAGCAAACAAUCGAAGAGUGUGAGGCUCCAGGCAUUAAGGGAGAGGAAAUAUAUUGCGCCACAUCUUUAGAAUCAAUGGUUGAUUUUAGCACUUCGAAUUUUCGAACAAGAAACGUUCAAGCAAUCUCGACAGAGGUAUUGGAAAAAGGUGCCACCAUGUCCAUGCACAAGCAUACAACAAUGCCGGGACUGAAGAAGUUGGCAGGUGACAAAGUCGUUGUGUGUCAUAAGCAGAACUAUCCCUAUGCUGUGUUUUACUGCCAUGUAAUAAAACCAACAGCAGCUUAUGUUCUCUCCCUGAAAGGCGAUGAUGGGGUGAAGAUUAAAGCAGUAGCCAUCUGCCAUCUAGACACAUCAGAAUGGAACCCAAAGCAUUUGGCCUUCCAAAUCCUCAAAGUUAAGCCCGGAACAAUUCCCAUCUGCCAUUUCCUUCCCACUGAUCAUAGUGUCUGGGUUCCGAACCACAAAUCUGCAUGAUCAUCACUUAGCACUGUACGUAUAAUAAGCUUGCACCCCUGUAUAAUUAUCUCCCUACUCUACUUAUUUCUGCCUCUUCAUGUGGUGUAAGAUAUAUGAUGAGAUGAAGUUUUUGGGAUUAGUGGUCGGGUUGCCUUAAAAACACAGAUUACAGAAACUGCUUGAACUUAACCCGAUCAUGUUUUCUCUUGUACUCGUAAAGCAUGCUGUUGUGGUUCUACUUAAUUUCGUUCUCCCCAAUGUUUGAGUGUUUAAUUGUUACGUUGGAUAAUGCUUGUAGUUAGAGAAGCCUUCAUUUAUAUCAAAGUCCUCAACUUGUAAAGAUAUCAAUGGUCCUAGUGCUGCCACGUGUAAGAAGAUUGAAGAAUAAAGCUGUUGAGAUAUUGUUAGACCUGUUAUGCAGUUUAGGAAAACUGUUAGUAUUGAUAAGAGAAGGUUAGAGAUGUUAGAGAGGUUAGAAAACACGUGAACAAGGCUUUAACUCAGCUGAUAUAAAGUCUGUAGUUGUGCUCAGUUGAACUUAAUGAGAAAUACAACAAGUCUCUUCUCUAUCUCUGAAAUUCUCUCUGCUCUCUCUGCUUUACUUCUUUUGUCUCUGCUCUACAUUUUUUUUCAAUCUUCCUAUCUUAACAAAACUAUCAAGAAUUAAUGCAUCCAGAAACAUAUAUACCAAGACGCAAAACAACAUAUUUUUCAUGCUCUGUCUGUAACACCAAAGCAAACUUCCUUUAUCACAAAAGGAUCAAAUUCCAGUACUAAUCUAAUCCAUCAUGUAAAGCAUACAAUCUACAAGUGCCUCCCUUAAUUUGUCCAUUGGAUAUAUAUGUCACUUUUUGGUAAUUUGGUAUAGCAGCACCACGUAGUCUUGAAAUAGUAGUGCGGCUAUACCAAAUAUACCAUUUGCCCCUGCAUUUAACAGAAAAGUAAACAAAAUUGACGGUAGAACUAUUUGUCCUAACGAAACUGCAGUUGAAAGACCAUGAGAACGAUUUUGAAAAUUGAGGGACUCAAAUGAAAAUUGGGUCUAAGUUCAAGAACCAAUAAAACGAUUAACCCAUAGAUUUUGGAUCCAGUACCACAUCCCAAAGAGAAAACCACAAGUUUGCAAGCAAGUUUGUCCAUAAUAACACUACGUACAGUAUGGGCAGUGCGCUAGACUCAUCUCACUUUCUCAACCUAUCCUAUAGUUGUCUAAAAGAGUUUCUAAUUUAAUGUACUGAGAUUUACGAAAGAAAUAUCAGAGAAACAAUUUUCAGGCAAUAAAAAAAUGUCUUGGCAAGAAAAUGUACAAUUUGUUACAUAACUUAUUAAAUAUGAACAGUUGAAAGAAAAAAGAAUCUGGAUGAGGGAUUUGCAAAUUCCUAUGGCCCAAUUACCUUUUUUUCUUUGUUGUUUUUUUUUUUUUUUUUUUGGUUCUUUUGAUCCAGUAGCAUAUUCCAAAGAAUGAAAACCACAGGCAUGCAAUGCAAGCUCUUUUCCCACGUUUUCCUCUGUUUUUCUCCUAUCAUGGAAGUGAUUAAAACACACCUCUAAGCUUGUUUUGCGUUUGGUAGCCGAGUGUAAAAGCUCAAUGCAAGAUAGUUUGAGGUAGAAUUUUCUCCUAUUUUAUUAGGACAAUGAUAAUUAAAAAAAAGUGUGAUUCAUUGAAUAUUUGCGGGGUUUUGUUCAGACCUGACAAAGUUCUAAGUCAACACAUCAAAUUCCUUUUUCCAACAUGCAACAAUUGUAUUUGAUUCCCAAUUUUUUCUGAUAUACAUCACAUCAUGCCACUUGCAUCAAAUGAAUUUAAUUGAGUGAGGCAAUGGGAAGUAAUUAAGCUCUGUAUUCGUGGGUGGAGUGUUACUUCUGGAACCCUAAUAAUUCGUCCCUACAGGACUCUAGAACUCUCAAACUUCUUACAAGGACUACUUAACUCUAUAGCUUAAUGCAUAUAGCAUAUAUAUGCAAACACAAUUAGAAAUUCUACAACAGAAGCAAGAUCAAUCUCACUAUGCCUUCUAAACAAACAAACAAAUAAAACAAGCAUAUUAAUUGCUUUAAUCACUCUACUAACAUCAACACAGCACACUUAGUUUACUAACAGAUGAUAUAGAAAGGAAAAAAAAGGACCAAUAGGGAGAAAAUGGUGAACUAAGGAGAGACUAAUACUUCUGGUCCUUAGAAGGCAUAACAGAAAUAAUAGAGCACACUGCUUGAAUGCAAGUCAGUAUUAGGAGCAAAACAGCUGCAAUGAAAGAAAUAGUUGCCCAAGGUGUAUUGAAAUAAUGUUGCCUCAAAUUUGCCUUCCAUUUGUUCCAAGGCUUUCUGCAGUAGCUAUUAAGGCGCUCAGAAAGAAUAGCAAAGUAGAAGCUUUCACGAUACACUGCAAUUCCUUUUCCGAGGUUGUUAAUCAGAGUGCACACCUCAUUGUAGUCACCAAGCAUAUUUUUGACAAUCCCAUCCUUCAGAAGGAACUCCACAUCCUUUUCGGUGUUCACAAACUCAUCCAUGAGUGAAACAUAAUCACUUAUGUAAUUCUUACGGCAAUGGCACUAUUCAAAGGCAAUGAGGUUACGGAGUGUGAGCUCUGUGUAAUCGUGUAUUUUUAGUUUUGGAAUUUCUAGAAUCCCAUCGUUGAAUUGUGUUAACGCAGCUUUCCUUUCCUAGCCUACACGGAAGUCAACUUCACAAUCUCCUCCUAGCAAUUAGUCUUUCCUGCUGUAAAUCAGAUUUCCUACUGUAAAUCGGAUUGUAUUCAUGUCUAUAUUAUUUCCUACUUUAAGUAGAUAUCUUGUACUAGUAUAAAUAGGGACUUUGUGUAAUCUGUUAAAUACAAGGAAAUAUAUACUCUGCAUGGUAUCAGCCUAACCUAGGGUUCUCUCUCUCUCCCUUAUUCGAUCCUCUUCUCCUUUAGGUCCACCUCAUGGCUUUGUCUGAAUCCACCAUCUCCCUCCCAAGCCCCAACUCUUCUAUUUUAUCAAGCUUAUUGACUCCAACUAUCUUCUUUGGCUCCGCCAACUCAAACCCUUUUUAGUCGGCCAUGACCUCUGGAAAUUUAUCGAUGGCAUUCAUAAACAACCUUCUGCCCACACCUCCACCUCUACCACCGCAACACCCACAACCACCACCACUCUUACCCAAAUCAAUCAUGCCCAUGCUCAGUGGUACCAACAAGACCAACUCAUUGUUAGCUACAUCACCAAUACACUCUCUGAGUCCAUUCUCUUUCUCACUGUUGGUUGCACCUCUGCCCGGGAUCUCUGGGAGUGUCUCCAACGCCACUUCUCUCAAUCCAGUAUGGCCAGUGAAUCUACUCUUCGUUUUAAACUCAUGGAUUUGCAAAAAGGCUCUGAACCCACUUAUGCUUACAUUCGUCAUGCUAAGUCCUUUGCCGAUUCACUGGCUGCCAUCAAUGAACCUGUCUCCCCAAAAGAACUUGUCACUACUGUGCUUUGGGGUUUAAGACCCUAUUGCAACAUCCUCGUCACAGCAAUUCUCAAUUUCCCUCUGCUUCCUAACUUUGCUAAUCUUCGUGCUCGUUUGUUAGCAUUUGACGCACAGACUCCUUGAAUCUCUCCUGAUCAAAACACAGCGCAAAUGGCCACCCAAUCCUCUCCUCACACCACCGGUCAUACUUCCUUCCCUUCUCACCGUGGUGGUGGCUCUUCCAACAACAGGCGUGGUGGCCUCGGUGGCUGGCGCAAUAGCGGCCGGGGUGGCUGGCGCAGCUUCUCAUCUUCCUGGAGCAACCCGUGGAAUGGCUUCCAGCAGCUCCAAUGACCUAAUCAACCAUGGCCUCCUUUUGCUCCAAGUUCUGGAUCUCAAAGCAACUGGCCUUCCUUUCAGCCUCCUUGGGCCUAAUCUGCCGCUUCUAUCAAACACUUUGCCCGGCCCAACUCAGCUCCUGGUGUCUUGGGACCCGCUUGGUGCACUACCUGCAAUACCAAUCACAUACUACUACAAUAUGUCCUCAUCGCUACAAUGGCCCAGAAUCCUUUCUUUGCUAGGGCUCAAUUCAUGUAGCCACCUGACUCUACUUGGUACCCUGACACAAGUACCACUCAUCAUAUGAUUGGUAGUCCUUCUAAUCUCCAAAAUCAAUCCUUCUAAUCUCCAAAAUCAACAGCCAUAUCAGGUUCAUAAUUCUGUAUUUCUUGGUAAUGGAGAUUCUCUCCCUAUCUCUCAUACUAGCUCUCUCUUUUGUCUUCCAUCUCUUCGUACUAAUCUUCUUUUUGUUGCCCAUUUUACUUGUGAUAAUUUAGUUUUCUUUGUCUUUACUCUUGACUUUUAUCAAAUCUAUGACUUAUGUACUGGUUCGUUACUCUUUCAGGGCCCUUCUAAAGAUGGUCUUUACCCACUUUCCAUCUCCUCUCACUCAUCCAUAGUCCCCCAUGCCCUUACCACCGUGCACUCUCCUGCUUGGCAUCAUUGCCUUGGCCAUCCAUUCCAUCGUGUGCUCUCUCAUUUAGCGCCAUCUCUAGGCUUUAAAGUUUCUCAUGCUUUCUGUAAGGAUUGUGCACUUAGCAAAUCCACCAAACUGUCAUUUCUUAGUAAUAAAACCUUUGCCCCAUCUCCCUUUUAUUUAAUUCACUCUGAUGUAUGGAUGUCCUCGGUCAUUUCUGUCACUGGUUAUCGCUAUUAUGUCUUGUUUACAGAUGACUUUUCUCGUUACUCCUGGAUCUAUCAUAUGCACCGUAAAAAUGAGGUCUUUUCUCACUUUCAAACCUUUCUUGCUAUGGUUAAAAAUCAAUUUCACACCACUGUACAAAUUCUUUAAAGUGACAAUGGCACUGAAUAUGUUAAUAAUGCUUUCUCUGAUCUUUGCAGUCAACUAGGCAUCCACCAACGUUUCACAUGUCCCCACACUCCCCAACAAAAUGGCCUAGCUGAACAUAAACACAGACACAUUGCCACCAUGAUCUGUCCCCGGUCAUUUAUUCAACCAUCUUGACCUUUUGCUUGAUCAUUUUCCACAAGCAACCGUCCACGUACCCCAAUAAUUUAAAAGGGCUGAUGAUCUUUAAUUUGGUGAAAGCUUCUAUCUACCUACCGUGCUAUAUAUGAGCUAUGCAAUCGUGACCGUGUUACAUGACGUCCCAAUGUCGUAGGGAUAAAAAAAUAAUAGUCAUGGUUUUCUUAUUAAUGUCAAUACAUUCAUAGCAAAGAGCUUGUAGCUCUAGUGGUUAAGAGCAAUUACCCAUGCACUUGAGAUAUUUUGUGUUUAAAUCCCCUCUUCCCCAAUAUUUCUUGUAUAAAAAUAAAAAUAACAAUAAUAAUGACAUUAAUGUUGUAUUCUAUAAAGUGUUGGACAUGUUUUAUACCCCUUUCUUGCAAAUUACAGUUUGCCACGUGUACAAAAAUAAUAGAUAAGUGUUGGACAUCAAGAGCACUUACAUAUAGGUUUAAUAGGUAAGUUUUGAAUAUUUCUGUAUUUAGCUUUAAAUAUUGAAAAUCAACCUAUUAGCAUAUUAAAGAUUUGUCCAUAUUCGACGUACAUUCUCUUAUUUUUCUCUCAUUGAAGUAAAUACAAAACUAAGCACAUAGUGGGAAAGUGCGUCACGAUUAGGGGUGGGUUUAGUCUAGGUUGGUUCAUUUUUGGGCUCAAUUUGAACACCGAACUGUAAGCUUCGGUUUGGCUAUUUUGGAAACCGAAACCAAACCAUAAUUGAUGAAAACCGACCACUUCGAUUACCUUCUGGUCUUCCAACCAGAAGAAAACUCAAAACUUUAACCAUACCAAGUGCAACAGAAUUACACCAGGCUGGAUUCAAGUUUAUGAUGGUUAAAGAUAAAAACUUAUUUGACAUACAAUUUGAGAAUGGAAUCCUCAAAAUUCCACACCUGCGAAUACGGGGUUUAACAGAAAUUUUCUUCCGCAAUCUUAUUGCCUAUGAGCAGUGUGAGCUUCAUGAUCAUUACAUCAACGACUAUGUCUUCAUCAUGGACCGCCUGGUCGACAGUGCCAGGGAUGUGGAAUUGCUUGUGAAGAGUGGAAUUCUUGAAUCUAUGCUACCGGACAGCGAGGCAGCAGGGGAAUUUAUUAAUUCUCUUGACUUGGGGCCUAUUUUAGGCAAGCUUGAAACAAGACUAUUUCAGUUCACCAUGGGCUGGCCUGUCUAUUAUUGUAGCCGCUAUACUAGUUGUGCUCACAUUUAUUCAAACAGUGUGCUCCGUAAUGGCGCUGUAGGUUCUUCAUUUCCUCAAUUUCAUGUUUAGUGGUUGCAGAUUUGUUGCUCAUGUACGUGUUUAUCUAAAGUUAAAUAAGAGUGAUUGACUGGAUUGACUGUUAGUCUGUUAGUUUGUUUUUCUGGGGUUUUUCCCCCCUGUUCGUCAAAAAAAAAAAUAAAAGAGUGAUGGCUUGUGCCUAUGAAAAUUACUUAGGAGUAUGCUCCACAGAGCCAAAAUAAAUAAACUAGGGAAGUGGAGGUUCUUCUGUUUGUAUAUAAAUGAGCAAUUCAAACUCUCAGUGCCAAGGGAGUUACCCUUGAUACAUUUGUUAAAAAUUAUAUAUUUGGUCUUACAUCAAACAAAUAAUUUGAAGGGCUUUUUUGACAACUGCUGACAGCGUUUGGCAGAAAAGUUUAGAAGCGCUUCUACGCUUCUAGAUCAUAAAAGUGCUUUACCAAAAAGCACUUAGAUUUCUUAUGAAAAUUUCAACAUUUUUAUAAUAAAAGCGCUUGCUAGAAGCACUUAUAAGCAGAAGUGCUUCAUAGAGAAGCAGUCCCAAACGAGCUUGAUUUUCAAAUGUGCUGCUUAAGAAGAAAUUUAAUACGUUUUGAAAACAAAAAAAAAUACGAAAUUUAAUACGUUUGUUUUACAAAUUGUAUUAAUUGUUAUCAAUAAUACUUGUGCACACCCACAACAUACUUCUUUCUUUCUUUAUUUUCCUUCAGUACAGUUCUGCCUUUCUUUAAUUAUUUUUAACGAAUGCAAAGAGUUUGUCACAAAAUCAAGGAUUGAAAAAAAAAGAGAGUAAAUUAUGUGCUAGAGAAACUUUCCUGCAGAAAUUGAAGAACAACUCUAGUUUCUCUCUUUCGCCUUGUACUCCCGCACUGAGGUUAGUAUUGUUAUAAUGUGCAGAUUAUACGGUCACUCUUGUAUAAUGGCGAGAAGGCUCUAAUUAUAUUUUUGAACCUCUUUGACAGGACCCGCCCCGAAUUUCCCGAAACCCAAGACGAAUUCUGUGGAAAUUCCCUACAUCACCCCGAUGUUGGGCCCACUUCUAAAACUAUAUCAUUUUUCCUAAAAAGGAAUAAGGGCACGAGACUUUCUACCGAAAUUUCGGCAGAGUCUCUCCUGUAAAUUGAACAUUUCCCAAAAUUUCAACCUGCAUAAAACACAUUUUAUAUUACCCAACUGGCAGCAUGCACAAAAUAAUAACAUGCAAUUCACAUAAACGGCCUCUGGCCCUCCGGUAAUUCAGAGCAAUGCAAACUAGCAACUCUAAACCUAAUAAAACAACAUAAGUAACAUUUAGCCAGCGGCUGCACCCAGGCACUACCCUAGGCUACCUACGUACCCUUACUAAGGGAUCAAGCCACACGUAGUUCUUUCAUACAAAAUUUCCAAAUCCAUCAACAUGCAAUCAAUUACAGAAUCCCAAACAAAAUCUUUCUCAAACAUCAUUAGUUCCCAACUCAGUAUAAUAAUCCUUAAUUCAUCUCUGUAAUAAUCACAAUAUCUCCCCAUACGCCGGAACUACCAACACCACGUAUGGAGCCUGCCUGUACGCCAGAUAACCAACGACACGUGGGACCUCAUCAUCAUAUCACAUAAUCUCCCCAUACGCCGAAACUACCAACACCACGUAUGGGGUCUGUCAACACGCCGGAUAACCUACGACGUGUGACCUCAACAUCAAAUCACAAUAUCUCCCCAUACACCGGAACUACCUACGCCACGUAUGGGGUCUGUCCACAUGCCGGAUAACCUACGACACGUGGGACCUCAUCAUCAUAUCACAUAAUAUAUUAACGAUCAAGAAAUAUCACUACGGUCAUUUAAUCCUCCUGGGAAGGUAAAACUAUCUCAGGAGACUCACGGUCAACCAAGGGUCAAACUACCUCAUACUUGGACAAACGAGCCCACGGAGCCCACAACCUCCGUUUUACUAUCCAAGAGUUCCUAUAGGUUCUACAAGGUUUAGGAUACACGGCUUGCAAGUUUGGUCAAGAUCAGACGGUCGGAUCGCUCACGAUAGGACGGUUACUGCAAACCUAGCCCUAGGGUUGGCAUUUUCGGAGUAUCCGAAACUCCGUUUUACGAUCUGUCGAAUCAUAGACGAUCCUAAGGAUUUGCAGACUAACUAUAAUAAAUUCAAGACCAUCCAACGGUCUAAACCUAUCGAACCCGGAUAACGCGCAAUAGGCAAUAUCCAAAUUGAAAUCCGAGCACACCUACGCACUCGUGAGGACUAGGAGAUUACAUCGGGACAUAGUGCCCUUUUUCUACAGUGCCCAUGAGCCGCCGCACGCACCAGCAACGCGUGGGUGCCCAAAGCGAUUAUGCAUCGCCAAAAAAUCUCAAAACCACGGCUCAAGACUCCUACCCUAGGUAUAACACCCUAUUUGGAACCACUUUUGUUCUUGGACCUACCCCAAAAACUGAUCAGAAGUGGCCGGAAUGGCUGAAAUGUAAUUCAAAAAUCAAGCUACCAACGCUCAAAAUCGAUGCAAUCCUACCCAACCAUCAACUAGAUUAUGAAGAAUGGAUAAAUUUCCAUACCUUGAUCGCCAACAAUGGCGGCCGGAGGAGAGAGAUCUGAUCCGGCGAAGUUCGAGUGAAAACGGCCAAAAAUCAUCUUUUUCAGGCGGCUGGAGGGCGACCGAUGUCAGGGAAGGGCAGGGUCGUGACGCUAAGGCUGAGCCUGUCCUUUUGGCACCGGUCCCUUCCGCAGCCGUGUCCGGUGGCUGGAGUUUCGAAGAGAGAGAGAGAGAGAGAGAGAGAGAGAGAGAGAGAAAUCUGAUUUUUAUCAAACCUUUUUGCCAAAAUUACGGUUAUGCCACUGAGGGUAUUUUGAUAGUAUCUCUCUCGUUACAACUUCGAUUCGAGCCCACCACGUGUGUACGGACUCAUCUAACUGUGUUGUACGCAACGGUAUAGUCGAAAUUCCCAAAUUAUUUCCUUGUCAAAAAGUCAACUUUAAACAUUAUAAAAUAUUUUAGGGAAAAAAUGGUAUUUUCUCUCAAUAAAUUAGUAACUAAUUUAUUUAGGACUGGGUCAUUAUACUCUUUUUCGCUUCAAUGGAUGGGAAAAAAUUUUAUGUAAUAUCCCACAUCGACCAACGAAGAGGGGGCGAUGUGUCUUAUAUGUACAUGCCCGCCUCCAUCUAGCAUAAGGCCUUUUGGAAGCUCACUGGCUUCAGAGUCAUGGGAACUCCGAAGUUAAGCGAGUUGGGGGCUAGAGCAAUCCCAGGAUGAGUAACCCACUGGGAAGUUGCUCGUGAGCUUCGAGAAACAAAACCGUGAGGGCAGAGAGAGGGGCCCAAAGCGGACAAUAAGGCCUCGUGCUAGAUGGAGGCGGGCAUGUACAUAUAAGGCACAUCACUCUCUCUCCGUUGGUCGAUGUGGAAUGUUAGAAUGGAAUUGUUACCUUUGGUGUGGAGGUGUUCUAUCAUUUGAGCAAGAAAUUCCCACAUAUUCUUCAACUAUUUUUCAAGCAUGCAUAUUCCUCCCUAUCAAUCUUUGGUUUCUUCCUUUACUGUGCAUAGUAAGGAUCCAGUCAGGGACGGACCGUCGCUAUGACUAUCCUGGGCUAUAGCCCAGGCAAAUUAUUUUUUUUUCUAGUCUAAAAUAGCAAUCCCACCGCUUGCUGUAGUACUUGUUCAGUUCGUCACAAACAUGAGCAUAAUAGAAGUUAUCAACAUCUAUAUAGGAACCCCAAUGAAAAGGCUGUUAACUAAUAAUGAAGUUAACCCGUCAAUUUUUCCGCAUAUCAGAUAUCUCUCAGAAUAUGCGAUUCCAUAUUCAAUAAGCCACUCCACAUGCCCUGAGGUUUUCAUCAAACCACCCAUUAAGGAAACAUACUGACUCAUGUAAUUAUCAUUACUCAUCGGGUAAUGCAAUUGUUCAAAGGCAAGGACAUUUCUCAUUAUUUAUGUAGCGAACCCCAAUGGAAAUGGUGGGAUCUUCAGAACCCCAUCGGUGCUACUGAAUUGUAUGUCAAAUAUGUUUUCACCUUGUCACGCCUCAAACUUGACUCCAGCGUGCUGUAAUUCUGUCAAGCUGGGUAUGGAUGAUGGGAGUUUGAUGCAGGAGCAUAGGGGUGGAUCAAGAUAGAUAUUUACUAUUUAAUUAGUUAUUUCAUGAUAUAUUGUUAUUUUCUUAUUUAGGUAGUUUUAUGAUAUCUUUUAUUAUUUAUGUGUGAUUUUAUAAUUAAUUAGUAUACUUUUGGACCAAGUAGCCUUGGUGCUCAAGUCUUGUAAAGCCUAUAAAUAAGGCUAAUGUAAUAGUUGUAGAAUAGAUGUCGAUGAUUAAUAAAAUCGUUUAUUUGUGGCAUGGAUUUGCUACGAUAUAUGUGAGUUUGCACUAGCCCUAGAUUUCAGUGCUCGUGUAUGUGGUUGGUGACCUGUGUCCGGAUCCCGAUCCCCAUCAAUUGGUAUCAGAGCUAUGGCUCAAGAUCUGCUAUAUCGGGGAGGUUUUUGGAUGGAGGGUCGUUUUAACAACUACAACGACAUGGAGGAAAUUAGGAGGAUGCUACGGCAACUUAUGGAACACAUUGCUCGCAUUGAAGCUCGAACCCAGAUAGGUAAGAGUUCUGACGGGGAGGGAUGUGUGAACCCUUAUCUGAACCGAGUAGCUCGCAUCGACACUCUAAGCCGUGAGAGUCUCGACGGGGAGUACGAGGGAGAUAGCCCUUUUCAUUAUUGUGCUCCGCUGUGUGAGUCAAGUGAAGAGGGGCACGGUUAUUCUCAUUGUGUCUUUGAAGGUAUAAAUGAAUUUAGUAAUUUUGGUGCAUCUUGUUAUUCAUCAAAGUUAUUAAAUUUGGAUUUACCUCCAUUAUUUGAUCCUUGCAAUUGUGAAAAUUGCAAUAAAAAUUGUUUGGGUGUUCAAAGCAAUUUUGAUAAGCAAUUUAUUGACCAGAACAGUGAAGAGAUGAGAAUUGAGAAAACUUUCGAAGAUAUUAUUGAUUUUAUGGGCAUUAAUAUUUUCACUUGGAAGGUUGCCAAAAAUCUGGUUGAUUUUGUCAAUCGGUUGAAGAUUCUAGAGAGAAACAUUUGCAUUGCUAGAGGGAGUAAGAAGUCAAGAAUAACGAAAUAUUCCAAAUAUCUUUUUAUUUGGAAAGGAAGGUUUCAAUUGGAUGCUAAAAGAUCCAAAAUUAAUAUGCAGCAAUUGAAGAUUCUACUCGGAUUUUCCUUAAUCAAAGGCUUGAAUUCGAGGACGAAUUCUUUCCAACUAUGGGAGUCUGAUGCAGGAGCAUAGGGGUGGAUCAAGAUAGAUAUUUACUAUUUAAUUUGUUAUUUCAUGAUAUAUUGUUAUUUUCUUAUUUAGGUAGUUUUAUGAUAUCUUUUAUUAUUUAUGUGUGAUUUUAUAAUUAAUUAGUUUACUUUUGGACCAAGUAGCCUUGGUGCUCAAGUCUUGUAAAGCCUAUAAAUAAGGCUAAUGUAAUAGUUGUAGAAUAGAUGUCGAUGAUUAAUAAAAUCGUUUAUUUGUGGCAUGGAUUUGCUACAAUAUAUGUGAGUUUGCACUAACCCUUGAUUUCGGUGCUCGUGUAUGUGGUUGGUGACCUGUGUCCGGAUCCCGAUCCCCAUCAGAGUUCCCCUCCAGCUUUUGAUUCCAACGGUUGAUAGAGUUUAAAUAUUUUCCUGAAAAGAUCAAUAAUAUGUGCCACUGAUCUAAAAGUCUCCAAAUUGUCUUCCAAUUUGUCAACAGGCAAUAGAUGUUCGAAGAAACUGAAAGAAAUACAAAUUAUUGAAAGCCCCUCAGUAAUGCUGUUAUUGUCAGCAUUAGCAGGGAGUGUAAUUUUCUGUGGGUCGAAAAGAUCCUCGAGAAUGAAGAAUGGCAACUGAUUUUCAAGCAACCACGUAUCUGUCCAUGCAUCUUGCAACAUACCUGGUUUGUCAAAUAUGCGGUCAUUUUCGUCCCAAAAUUUGAAGUAGUCCUUCAAUAAGGGCUCAAUAACGAAGGCGGCGCCCACUAGAAUGAUUGUUACAAAUUCAUCACUGCUAAACUUGAUGGGUUCUCCAUAACAACGUCUCAAUCUUGCUUCGUGGUCCUUUAUUUUCUUAAUAUAAUCCUCCAAACUCACAUUGGUCCGACCUAUAAAAUCUUGCAGGUAUCUCUGUUUGUUCUCUUCCAAUACGACAUUCAAGCCUUCCUUUCCAUGGUGAAGUGGACCUAUAGAGACCGACUGCCUGAGGUGUGCAGAGCUUUUCAUUCACACAUACGUAGAUAAAAUGUCUGGGGGCUCAGAGAGUGAUGAAUGUGCAACAGCUAAUGGGAGGGUUUAUAUUCCUGAAGUAAGAAAUGAGGAAACACCAGCAGUUGGGAUGAAGUUUGACUCGCUUGACCUCGUUUACAAUUUCUAUAAUAGAUAUGCAUUCUUGGCUGGCUUUGGUAUUCGACUUCAUUCUAGCUUUUGGGGGAAAAAUAAGAAAGAGAUUUUGAGGAAAGAAUUUGUAUGUUGCAAACAAGGUGCAUACAAGAAGGAUGAAACUCGGGAGAGAAAAAGACAACGGGGAAUAAGUAGAUGCAAUUGCAAAGCAAAGAUUGUGGUUGUGAAGACAAAUGGGAGCAAGAAGUAUACCAUUUCUCUUUUUGCAGAGGGACACAAUCAUAAGAUGACACCCUCAGAAAGAAUGCAUUUAUUGAGAUCACACCGUCAUAUUUCAGAUUCUACAAAAGUACUCACAAAACAGUUGGGUUCAGUUAAUAUUCCCAUUCAUCAGAAGGUAAGUAUAUUCGAGGUGCAAUCCGGAGGAAUGGAUAAAAUCGGUUUUAUCAAAAAAGAUAUCUACAAUCUUGAAUGUAGUGUGAAUGGGAAGCUGAGGAACCACGAUGUUGAACUAGUGACCGAGUAUUUUAUGGCUGAACAGAAAAAAAAUGAGGCUUUUUAUUUCAAGAUUGAGGGAGAUGGGCAUGACAGGUUUAGUCGAUGUUUUUGGGCAGAUGCAACUUCUAGACGGGCGUAUGGGUUUUAUGGAGAUGUUGUUGUAUUCGAUACCACAUUCAACACGAAUCGAUACGACUUGACAUUUGCACCAAUGUUGGGAGUUAAUAACCAUGGUCAGACAAUUGUCUUAGCAUGCGCAUUUUUGAGCAAGGAAACGACUGAGUCGUUUGUUUGGAUGUUUGAGGAGUUUAAGAAAGCCAUGCCAGGUGGGGAACCUAAAACGAUCAUUACAGAUCAAGAUGCGGCAAUGGCCAUAGCGAUUUCAAUAGCCUUCCCGAGUACAUUUCAUCGACUUUGCAUAUGGCACAUCACAUCAAAGUUCUCUGUUAAGUUACCACGUGACGCUUAUAAGGAGUAUUGGCCUGAAUUUCAGAAAGCCAUAUGGGAUACUGACAAUAAGGAUGAGUUUGAUGCAAAAUGGAAUAUUGUGGUUAUAAAGGCUGGUUUGACUGACCAUCCAUGGCUAAGUUCAAUGUUUGAUUUAAGGGAAUCUUGGGUUCCAGCCUACGCACGACAAUUUUUUGCCGCUGGAAUGUCAAGCAGCCAAAGAGCGGAAGGUUCUCAUGGUUUUUUCAAGCAAUACAUAUCAAGGAGAAAUUCGUUGAUGGAUUUCAUAAUACGAUUUGAGAGGGCAUUUUCUCAUCAACGUGAAAAAGAGUUAGUUGCUGAUCACGUAGAUGCAUUUGAAGUGGCUCAAUGUCUUCUACCGAUGCCAAUGAACAAACAAAUGGCUACCUUGUACACAAGGACAAUGUUUCAAAAGUUUGAGCAAGAACUAAUACAAAGUACAGCAUGUUUCCUAGAGCUCAAAACAGAGGAUGCAUGUAAAGUUGUGUUCAACGUGAGCGAAAGGAAAAAUUGGGAAACAAGAGUGGCAGAAGUCGUAUAUGUCAAAGAUUCUGACCACGCAUCGUGUAGCUGCAAAAGAUUUGAAUUUGUUGGAAUUAUUUGCAAGCACAUCCUAGCAUUGUUCAGAAGGGACCAGAUUGAAUAUAUGCCCGAUAAAUAUAUUUUGAAGAGGUGGAAGAAAACUGCGAAAUGUGGAUUGGUGUCAGAUGCAAAUGGCAACGAAAUUAAAGACUGUGCAGAUCCUGGCCUUCUAAUAAAGCGGAGUACAAUGUCUCGACUUGCUUCAAAUGUGGUUGAGGAUGCAUUAAUGAGUGAAGAAGGAUGUGAGCUACUGUCAGAGACUCUAAAAAGUUUGCAGGUGAAGUUGAAGUUGCUGAAGGAUGGACCAAGUAAUAACGAAGUUGGAGGGUCCAGCUCUCAAACACAAUAUAUGAAAGACCCUAAGAGAGUGAGGUGCAAAGGAAGGUCGAAAGGAAUAACGGGAGCAAAGGAAAAGGCAAUGAAGCGAGGGAUUAGACACUGUCGGGAGUGUGGACACAUUGGUCAUGAUAGAAGACAAUGCCCAGCCUUGAACACACCGUAAGAUGCUACCACUAUUUGUAAUAAUAUCUAAAAUAUGAAAAGGUAAAAUUUUUAUGUGCUUGUGUUUGAUGUUUAUGCAGGACAUCACCGUCGAACAAUGACAAAUCAACUCCAAUACAUCGUAGUGACCCAUUAUUCGACGAUUUUGACAAGAUGCACAGACCAACUGAAUGAUUGAUAUUUGUAUUAGACGAAAUGUGGUUGUUAUGAAGAUUAAUGAUCAAGUGAAGUUUUAUAGAUUCAGUUUUUGAAUGUUAUUGUGUUUUUGUUCAUGUCCACCGAUGAGCUCUUACUAUGUCCACUGGUAAUUGAAAUGAAAAUUUUCUUGGUUUCAUUCUUCCAAGACAUUUGGAGACAUGUUAAUUUUACGUCUUCUCCCUAUUUAUAAAUUUUCAUAGACAUUUGAUCAAGUUUGAAAUUUGUAGUUAUGUGAAGAAGCAAUGACUCUUACCAUGUAAAAUGGGCAGUUUAGGGUGAAAUUUGUUUUAACAGAGAUUCAUUUUUCAAUUCCUCAGGGUAAUGCAGCAAUUACAGCAGCCAGCUGUUGUUUCCAUUACCAGUAAUCAUUUCCAGCAGCAGCCACUUUUUCCGACUGGUUAUUAGGGGCACGAUUUUGUACACUUUUGUAAGUGAAGGAUACUCGAAGCACUUUGUUGGAACAGAGCAAAUAGAAACCAGCGGGUAAAAAAAAAACAUAACAUUGCAGCUAAUUACAUUUCGAUACAUAGGUGAAAAAUAUUAAAGGGUACACUAACUUACAUAAAUACUCAUAAUUCCACACACAAAAGAACAUUUGAUUGCAAAACAUAUUAUGUGCUUCCUCAUAGCAAUACCACGAUCUCCCCAACCAACUGAACAACGGUAGCCACAAUCACUGGGUCGUACUCGUCAGCUUCUUCUUAGCAGGUCUCACAUGCUUAUGGCCACUCAUAUCCCUAGUGAUAUACACGAAAUAAAUCUUCAGCAAUAUUUGGAAUUUUAUUAUAUAUAAAUAAACCAUAAACCAUUCAGUAAACAAUGUAUAGCACAUGUUAUGUAACUUAUGACUCACGUGUCAGUUUUUUUUUUAACACAUUAGUACUCCAGCUCUUUAAUGUAAAUGGACAUGAUAAGGAGCAUUUACUGAUUCCCGGCUUUCUAUGAUAUUGACUGCUUCUUGAAUAAUAUUUCCAUAUUUGCAAAAUAUAAUGUUAGACAUUAUAACACAUGAUGACUUGCAAUACAUAGUCCCAAUAAUUAUAUAUCAAGCAAAUGAAACUGAUAUUUGUGUUAUUUUAAGUUAGAUAAUGACAUUAAGGGAGUAUAUGUGCAAUACCACGGUCACCCUCAACCAACUGAACAGCGGUAGCCGCAAUCACUUAGUCGUAUCGGUCGGCUUCUUCCGAGCAGCUUUGACGUGCUUAUGCUCAUUCAUGUCACCCCCAUCGUCUAGUAUCUCUCUCACAGCAUCAGGGGACACAUAGUUCCAAUCAUAACUUGUAUGAGUAGUUGCCGCAAAUGCUCGGAAUUUGUCGAAUCCUUCGUUGAAUGCCAACUCCAGUUCAGUAUGGUGCUCUUCGCAUCGCAUAUGGUUCAUCAAACAACCUUUGAUUUCAUCAUUCAUUACUGUAUCCAACUCCUCAGCUUUCAGCUUCCUGCUAUGACUCAGCUUCAAGUACUUGUUCUUUUGGGAUAACGCUUUGUUCACCCUAAUGUUAAGAUCAGCCAAAAUUGCCUCGUCUUCAACACAUUUCUCGUGCCAUGAAUUGAUCAGUCUGGAAUUAUAAUCCAGCUUGCCACUGACUGCAUGUAUUGCCUGUAAUGGAUCAUCGGAGUCCCCCUCACUCCCAAAUGAUGUUGAAAAAGGAAGGGGUCGGCGAGUACAAUGUGGAAAUAGAACCUGCCACUCCAAUUUGUCAUCUUCGAUUGUGUUGUUGGCGCCUGAAGAGGUUGACAUGCUUGAAUAAUCCUCUUUGUUUUGGGAGGAUGAGGAUUGCAUAUGCAAUUUCGUUUGAGAAAGGGAACAUAGGUUUAUAGACCAACAUACCAAAGCUUGUGUGUAGUCAACAUAUGUACUUUUUGGCGGGAAUUUUUUAAAAAUAGGUGUUAGGUUUUGCUUUUCAAGCAUGUCAACCUCACACUCUCCUGACACCACUGCUAGUGGUUGAAACAAAGUCAAUGGAAGUGACAUCUACUUAGUUAACUCAACCAAACUAGUUAGGAUUAAACUUAGAUUGUAUCAGACCAAAAAAUAAUUUCUACUUUGUCAACCAAAUAUUUUUUGGCGGGAACCCUUUUCUUGGUAUUACUAUCACCCCUUUCAUAUAAAAUCUCCUUCCACACAAAACUCACUCCUCCACCGAAUCUGUCUCCAUCUACCGAUACUCUCUCAAGCAAACAAACUCAUUCCCCCCAAAGAAUGAGCAUAAGCACAACCAAGUUUGAUGUGAGCAUAAUAAACACCCCUCCAAACAAAGACCGGCUUCGACACGCAAGUGAGUCACCGGACAAGCAAUGUCACAUUGCUAGACAGAAUGACCAUUUUGUUGGAAGUUUUGAGUCUGAAAGAGUUGUUGCUUUUUGGAAGGAGAGGCAUCUUCAACUUGGUGAUGAAAUCCAAAGGGCAAGGGCACGUUUGGAAUUUGUGGAAGGCCAAAUUGAAGAUGACAAAAGGCAGGCCAAUCUGGAUAGGGCGAAGUUGUAGCGCAUGAAGCGUAGACACAAACGACUUCGGAGUGUAGCUGUUCAAAAAUACAAGAACUCAUCUAAUGUAGUGGAGUCAAAGAAGCGUGUGAUGCAAGCUGGAUUCGACUACUUCCGAUCCUAUGCAAAACUCGUCGUACCCGGGUUUGAUUGGUCAUCUAUUACCGUUUCCGACGUCACCAAAUAUACUCAGCAAGGGAAGUAACCAUUUUGGUUCUCGUGUUUUAGCAGAGGCAAAUAAGUGGAAUUGGAAUUUUGGUUACACUCUGCUUCAAAGCUAUUUUGAUGCUAACUACUAUGGAAGAUUUAAACCUUAAUAUUUUGAUGUCUUUAAUUACGAAAACAGAAGAUGCAAAGAGCUCAUCUACUUCAGCCAUAUGUUGCUGCCAUGUCCAUUUGUUUUUGAUCACUUAUCAGAUUUGGACAUGGUUGCAUCAUAUGCAAUGUUGCCUUUAUUUAUUAUAUGUUAGGACAAGGUUUAUGGAAAAGCUUUUGUGAGUGCGUUUGUGACAAGGUUAUGGAAUUAUUAUGUACACUUUAUAUAUUGUUUUUUGUACUGGUUCAUUUCCUACUAUUUCUUGCUUUCUUUAUAUUUUAUGUUUGUGGAAUCCCUCUCAAAGUUAACAUAUACUGUGAAAAAAAUAUUAUGCAACUGAUUAUAUAAUCACUCAUAUAGACUAGGACAAAUAUUCACUAAGGGUUUUAAACUUGCUUCACUUGUGUGAUGUUAUUGACAAAAAGUAUGGCAUUAUUUAUGUGAUUUGACAUGAUUGAAAAUAUAUUACUGAUUCCCAAUGCGGCGUCAUAUGGACAACGUAUUGAAUACCUGUGACGUGUUAAUAACUCAAGGUGCAGUUGCAUGUGGACAACUUCUUGAAUACCUCUGACGUGUUGAAAACUCUAGGUGCAGUUGCAUGUGGACAACUUAUUGAAUACGAACUGACGUCUUCAAAGCUCUAGGCGUAGUUGCAAUGAUGGCUUCAAAGCAUGUGCAAUUAUUUUUUAUGUACAUUAUUAUAACAAAACAUAUUAUUGUAUAUAGUGAAACUAAAUAUUGUAUUAUUAGAAAUUAUAUUUCGAAUAUUAUCCGAAAUAUACGUGUUAACGUGAAUUUGGGUUAAGAGGAAAGUGAGUUAUGUACAAAUAAUUUUCAUUUUCUCAUUUUCCGGGCAUUUUUUGGAUUUUCGUAGAAUUUAUUACCUAUGUCCACAGAUUGUUGCACUAAAAAAGCCAAAAUAAUAGCAAGAGGACACCUGGAGCGAUCUCAGCCCGUCACUGAUGACUACUUGCACAAGUGUACGUCAGUCAACAUGGCCACACCCUCCCAUUUUACCCUAAAUUAUUAUUUUAUUACUUUUCCUUACAAAAAUCAGAACUAAUUACACACAAAAUAAAAAAAUUAUCCGAAAAUUGCUACGAACUCAUUGACACUCCAUCUCCGUUGCUGAAUUCUCCGAUUCAUUGUUACGUAUUUGUAAAAUUAAUUCCCAACAUUAACGGGAGAUGCUUGUUGAAGUAGGUUAUUCAAGUUGAAGUUAACAAACAUCAAUACUUAGGGUUAAGAGGAAAGUGAGUUAUGUAACACAAUUUGGAUUAUUUCAUUGCGAGACGAAUGAUUUAUAGGUUCUCCUAGUUUUAUGACGUCACAAGUAGGCCGGAGUAAUUUUUGGGGCAUUUUUACGAUUUUCCUACUAUUUUUUACCUAGUUUCAAAGAUUUUUGAACAAAAGAAUCCAAAAUGUAAAAGAAGAUGACACCUGGCGCGAUCUCAGCCCGUCACUUUUCACUACUUGCACAAGUGUACGUCAGUCAACAUGGCCACAUCCUCUCAUUUUACCCUAAAUUAUUAUUUUAUUACGUUUUGUCUUGGAAAAUUCAUAACUAAAUACACAAAAAUUCAAAAUUAUUUCUGAAAAUUGCUACGAACUCAUUGACACUCCAUCUCCGUUGCUGAAUUCUCCGAUUCAUUGUUACGCAUUUUUAAAAUUAAUUCCCAACAUUAACGGGAGAUGCUUGUUGAAGUAGGUUAUUCAAGUUGAAGUUAACAAACAUCAAUACUUAGGGUUAAGAGGAAAGUGAGUUAUGUAACACAAUUUGGAUUAUUUCAUUGUGAGACGAAUGAUUUAUAGGUUCUCCUAGUUUUAUGACGUCACAAGUAGGCCGGAGUAAUUUUUGGGCCAUUUUUACGAUUUUCCUACUAUUUAUUACCUAGUUUCAAAGAUUUUUGAACAAAAGAAUCCAAAAUUAACAAGAAUAUGACACCUGGCGCGAUCUCAGCCAGUCACUUUUGACUACUUGCACAAGUGUACGUUACCGAACAUGGCCACAUCCUCCCAUUUUACCCUAAAUUAUUAUUUUAUUACCUUUUUUCUUGGAAAAUUCAUAACUAAAUACACAAAAAUUAGAAAAACGAUCCGAAAAUUUCUACGAACUUAUUGCGAUUUCAUCUUCCUACUGCAUUCCCUGUUUAAUGGUUAUGCUACAUUAGUAUUUUAUUAUUAUUUAUCCACAAUUAUUAUAAUUAUUAUGAUAUUACUUUUUAGGCUGUCCAUUUGUUAAUUAUACCACAUCCAACUUGUUGAAAACAAUUUUAUUUUCCGUGCGAAUAGGCCAUUUGUAGUGCUUAUCGGUUUCUCUGUUCUUCAAUUUGUUAAUUUUUUUAUUUUUUAGGUUGAAGGGAUGUUUUGAAACAUAAUAUGGAAAUAUACAAGUCAUCCAUUGUACUCCUUCCACACAAAAAAAUAGUCUACGUCAUUCACUGUUCAACACCCUAGGUUAAGACACGUGUAACCAAAUCCGUUCGGAUAUGCUAAGUGGGAAAAUGUCAUUCCCAAGCACUGGUGAAAAGACACUUAUUUACUCCAUGCAUGACUUUUGGUUUACCAAAUAUGAAGAUUGGGGUCGGUGAGCAAAAUAUCUGUGUCAGUAAAAUGUCAUUCCUAGCCAUCUAUGAUGUAAGUAAUAAUUCCGCUAUAUAAUAAAUAUUAUACAUUUAUAUAUAAAACGGUUUAUGACAAAAUACCAACAUUUGAACAACAUUUAAACUGAGAUAGGUAUAACGUAGCCAGCCAACCUAGAAGUGAAGAGAAGCAAGUCCACAAUGCAUCAAAACUGUAAAUUCGUACUAAAACUAAUGCAAAAAUACGUGAUUCCCUCGCACAACUUACUCACGCAGGAUUUUGCACCAAAAAAUACUCUCACGGUGCCAUUUGCAUCGGUUGCAGCAAGUCCAAAACGCAGGAUUUAUCUUGUCUUCACUAGGCCACCCUGGAAUAACAAAAUACCAUUCAUUGUUGUUACAAGCGCUGCACCGAUUGAACUUAAUCUUCCCAUAGUCAAACAUAUCUACGAUAUGUCUUGCAACAAAUGCUCCGCGACAUCUUCCUGUUAAAGCAUCCCUGGUUCCUUUCAUAUCAAUGUUGUUACGUUGAUUCAAAGAACACAAGAAUUGUAAUGCAUCCUCUUUUGACUGACCAAUUCCGGACAUACCAAGUAGUCCAACUACAUAUGCCGCUUCCAUAUGGCCUGCCGUGGCUGCAAUGCGCAUCCCAUACAACGCUUCCACCUUACCGUCUGUGAAAAAACCUUCGAAUGCUUCUCUAAAUAUGGACUCAGGGUUAUCGCAAGCCCUGCAUUGUUGCAAGAAAUGCUGGACUGCAGGUUUGGCACGGUAGCAGAUAGGAUGGUGUGGGUACUUUGCCAUUGAAAUGGUGUUCCACACUUGUGGACUGUUUGCCAAAAUGUUGAACAAUCGGCACACACAUGCCAUACGGAAGAGAUCUUCCGAUGAUUCGGUUGCCACGUAUAACAUCACUUGAAACCAAGCGGACUCCGGGAUAAAGGCUUCGGGCAUAUCGAAAUGGAGAUGCUUCCUUCUCUUUCCUCCGACUGUAGUGAAGUGUUUCGAAUUCAUUGAAAAGUUUUUGGAAUGGAACGAUUUGAGGAGUGGCAGAGGGGAUAAAUGAUAAUAUUUGGGGUACACGUUCUACUUCCGAGCCUCUGUUUAUAGUGUUUUGAAAAGGUGUUUCCAGUUGGGGUUUUUCCAAGUUGACCCUUUUGAAAGAAACUGAAUCCAAGUGAAUUAAAACUUAAGACAAAAGAAGGGAAAACGUCAUAACGGUGCAUACAGAGUCAGACAGUUAAAAAGUUAAUUAAAUGGCUAUUUGCAUAGCCAUUUUUGGGUUUAUCCCACUAUCAAAUUCAUUGAUACAAAUGUGAUGGAUUACUGACUAGUGACAGAAGGUCCCAUCAUAUACUUUUUCAUUUUCGCACACCCAACUAUCCCUAGUAAUGUUAUUAAAAUGGAACCAAUAAUGACGGAUUCUUAUCCAACUAGUUGCCUUAAUGAAAUAUAAAUAAAUUAAUAAAAUUGAAGCAGUGUCCCGUCAUUAGUCAGAAAAUAUAUUUGGUAGUGAAGUAGUUUCUAUUGCUUUUCGGGCUAAAAGAUGUCACAAUGCUGACGGUACAGGUGUCGACAUCGUGACCAACCCACCAAAUGAUCCCAAAAAAAAGUAAUAUAACUCGAUUUGGGCAGAGAUGAGAGAGAGCUGAGUGACAAGUUUAGGGUUAUGAGUGAAGGGGUAUGAAUGACAACUAUGAGUGAGAAGGUAUGAGUCCGAAGAGGUUUCAGUGAGAAGAUUUGAGUGAGAAGAGGUACAACUGAGAAGAUUCAACAUGUCUUCGUCUUCAUCUCCUGCUCAAACAAAGAGGUGUCAGUAUUGUGGAGCUACAAUGGUGCUUCGGGUUUCAAAAUCUGAAAAAAAAUCGAGGGAAGCCAUUCUGGAAGUGUCUAACCUCCUAUGUAAGUUUUAAUUUAAAGAAUAUGUAUGUGGGUGAAAAAAAACCUAUGUCUAACUCUGACAGAAUUAUAUUCCAUAUAUGAUGCCUGCAAUUAGGGAGCCACCAGUUGCAAUGGAUUCGAAUGGGUUGAUGUAACCUCCGCUGAAGCAGAACAUCAAGAUGACACGUAUGAUGUUAGAGUGCUGAACAUGCUGAAGUCCAUUAAGGACUUGGUAUUAGUUUUAUUAGUUGUAUUAAUUGUCAUUUUAUUUGUUCUUUUAAUGAUCAUUUAACUGCACGGUUUAAAAGAUUGUGAAAGUUCUCUCGCACAAGACAUAUUGCACGCACCACCAAUGAGACCCUAAACCCAUUUUGUAAUAUUUGGUAACUGCAUGUAUUUCGCAUGUUAUUGAAUGUUUAUUGAAGGUUUAUUGAUAGUUUGCUGCAUGUAUAUGGAAUAUCAUUGCCCCAAAAUUGGAUGUUUAUUGGGGCCACAAGUAUCACUCAAGUAAGAAUGAAGGGGAGAAACGGACCUUAUUCUUUCUUAUAGUAGGAAGAACAACUGUUAAGUUUAAUAUCCUAUUCAAUACGACUUCCCUAUGGUUGGUGUACUUGGGGACUGAAGUAUAUUGCAUCAUUAUUGUGGGCAAGGGCAUGUCUAUUGUGUGUGUUAAGGGAGUAUUGUGUGGGCAAGGGCAUGUCUACUGUGUGUAUAUUGCAUGUCUACUGUGUGUAUAUUGCAUAUCUAUUCUCUGUAUAUGGCAGGCCAAGUUUGUGUAUAUUGUUUGUCUGUUGUGUGUGUAUUGCUUGUCGGUGCGUUUGUGAAUUGUGGUUCAUUUUGUGUAUAUUGUCUUUGUUUCUACUUUUAUGCUACUGAGCUGCGGAAAACCUCGCAUGUUUAGACACCUAUUAUGAUGCAACACAUUGCGAUUAAUGGUGGCUUGCAUCAACAAUGACAUAUCACUUUGCAAUGAUGUAAUACACUUAAAAAGCCGUCUUCAAAUCCCAAUUCACAUAUGCAGUCUUAAAAUUCUAAUUCAAUGCAGUUUGGUUAACAAACAUGUAAAUGUCAUGAAGGAGUUAGCGGUAGAAUUCGAUAAGGACCCGUACGUCUCUAUUGUGUAUUUACAUUAGUUUGAGAAUGGACAUUCCCAAAACCUUCUCAUGUACCAUUUGUCAUCUUCAACCAAUAUCAUGGGAAGUAAGCAUCUCCCCUUGUUAUCUCCGCAGCCAAUUUCAACCGAAAAAAAGGCAUGUUGUGCGAGGUGCAAGUAGCUAACGGAAGCUUAGCGCUGAAAAGCUCAAUGUACUUUAACACAAACAUGCCACAAUCGCCUCUGAAGCAAAACAAGAACUCGAUCAAUUCAACUAAUGACAUUCUAAUGUAAUUGACAAUUGAAAGUAAUAAAAUUAAAUUGCAAGUUGUGCUUACUCAUUAGACUGUUGUGGAACAUCCACACGCUCUAUUGGCCACGGACACCACCAAUCUCGGCUGCAAUUGUUUGCAUAAACACCUUCUUCAUAAAAGUCGAUGGUGUUGAGAAGAUUUGGAAGCGUAAUUGAUAGCGGGCCGAGUUCUUCCUUUACGAUGUCAUCUGGAAUUAGUGAAACCUUUGAAUCGUACACUUUGAUUCACACAAUACCAGAUCAAACANNNNNNNNNNNNNNNNNNNNNNNNNNNNNNNNNNNNNNNNNNNNNNNNNNNNNNNNNNNNNNNNNNNNNNNNNNNNNNNNNNNNNNNNNNNNNNNNNNNNNNNNNNNNNNNNNNNNNNNNNNNNNNNNNNNNNNNNNNNNNNNNNNNNNNNNNNNNNNNNNNNNNNNNNNNNNNNNNNNNNNNNNNNNNNNNNNNNNNNNNNNNNNNNNNNNNNNNNNNNNNNNNNNNNNNNNNNNNNNNNNNNNNNNNNNNNNNNNNNNNNNNNNNNNNNNNNNNNNNNNNNNNNNNNNNNNNNNNNNNNNNNNNNNNNNNNNNNNNNNNNNNNNNNNNNNNNNNNNNNNNNNNNNNNNNNNNNNNNNNNNNNNNNNNNNNNNNNNNNNNNNNNNNNNNNNNNNNNNNNNNNNNNNNNNNNNNNNNNNNNNNNNNNNNNNNNNNNNNNNNNNNNNNNNNNNNNNNNNNNNNNNNNNNNNNNNNNNNNNNNNNNNNNNNNNNNNNNNNNNNNNNNNNNNNNNNNNNNNNNNNNNNNNNNNNNNNNNNNNNNNNNNNNNNNNNNNNNNNNNNNNNNNNNNNNNNNNNNNNNNNNNNNNNNNNNNNNNNNNNNNNNNNNNNNNNNNNNNNNNNNNNNNNNNNNNNNNNNNNNNNNNNNNNNNNNNNNNNNNNNNNNNNNNNNNNNNNNNNNNNNNNNNNNNNNNNNNNNNNNNNNNNNNNNNNNNNNNNNNNNNNNNNNNNNNNNNNNNNNNNNNNNNNNNNNNNNNNNNNNNNNNNNNNNNNNNNNNNNNNNNNNNNNNNNNNNNNNNNNNNNNNNNNNNNNNNNNNNNNNNNNNNNNNNNNNNNNNNNNNNNNNNNNNNNNNNNNNNNNNNNNNNNNNNNNNNNNNNNNNNNNNNNNNNNNNNNNNNNNNNNNNNNNNNNNNNNNNNNNNNNNNNNNNNNNNNNNNNNNNNNNNNNNNNNNNNNNNNNNNNNNNNNNNNNNNNNNNNNNNNNNNNNNNNNNNNNNNNNNNNNNNNNNNNNNNNNNNNNNNNNNNNNNNNNNNNNNNNNNNNNNNNNNNNNNNNNNNNNNNNNNNNNNNNNNNNNNNNNNNNNNNNNNNNNNNNNNNNNNNNNNNNNNNNNNNNNNNNNNNNNNNNNNNNNNNNNNNNNNNNNNNNNNNNNNNNNNNNNNNNNNNNNNNNNNNNNNNNNNNNNNNNNNNNNNNNNNNNUUUUCCUCUCCCUCAUCUCUAUUAUUUGGCCCUUCACCCCCUUCAAUCCCUUCAUCUUCUUUUUCCUCUCCCUCAUUUCUGUUACUUGGCCCUUCAUCCCAUUGAAUGUCAUCCAUUUCCCCAUAUCCCUUAAAUAGAUGUGAGACGACACAACGAUUCGUCCUCUGUUUCAGUAAAGCUAGGUCCCUCCUUACUUCCUGCUCAAACUGAGGACCUAAACAUUGGUCCAAUAGUUUUUCCAUCCGUAUGACCUUUAAGUGAAGGACGUCUUUUUCCCGCUUUUCUUGAAACAACUCGGACCUCAACAAGCUUACCACCUUGUUCAACUCAUCAAGAUCACCACAUGAAGAAGGAAUUGACUCUGCCGAGACAACAGCAGGGCGAUCCUGUGGCCAACUCCAAUAUGGCUGUCUCAUUUCCUCUUCACUUAGACAUAGCGCCCGCAACUGAACUGACUGUUUCAGAAUACAGACAAGAGUCAUAUUAAAUCAUUCUACUUCAUAAUUUCAUUCAAUCUUAUCAAUAGUUCUAAGGGCUGCAAACCAAACCUCUUUGCUCUGGAAAAAAUAAUUGUUCAACUUUCUCAUCUCUGGAACAGACGUAGUAGUUCUCCAUCGCAAAAUACGCGGGACAGCGGUCGGAUCAACAACCUUGCAGUAAUUCAGGUCCGCCAUUCUAGGAAUUAAUUCAUAUACCCAAAUCUACACAAUUCACAGGACAAAAGUCAUUAUUUAUGUUUUAAAGAAAAACAAAACAUAACUGACAUGAACAUUAUUACCAUGUACCUGGAAAGCAUACGUGAAACCUUUAAAACUCCAGCCACUCCUUUGCGCUUCACUAUGCUUAUCCUUCUUGCCCUUCUCAUUUCUCCGGCUUGUUCCCGUUACCUUACUUUUCCCCUUCCCUCUUCCCUCUUCAUUUUCCAAGCUUUUCACAUACUUUGUUGGUGCAGAAAAUAGACUGUCUUGGGUUUUGUCAAAGGACACCGAACCCCACGGAUACCUGUUGAACGCAUCCAAGUCCUCUACAAGGGUCAGGUAAUUUAGAUUGAUGUUCAAAUGUUUGUCCCUUCCCAAAACCACUAACUCAGCAAAGUAAACAAGAGGUAGCUUGAAGAUGUCAUCUUCCUCUGUGCACCUCACAAAUGCUUCUUCUAAAGCAUUGCAUGUAAUUCCUUCGUCUAUAAAAUAUCUUUUCUGAAGUCUGAUUUCAUUACUCUCUCCACUGGAAACUUCAGGCACUUCCCCAAAACGAAGCCCUGUGAUCAAACAGAAAUCCUGACGAGUGAACUGAGCAACGUCACACCCUAAUAAGAAACUCAGUCCAUCCAAGUCUUUCACACCCUGCCCCGCUACUCUACGCAACACAACCCCAUGCACAAUCUGUCCGCUAAACUGAAUCUUAUCUAUAUUCAGAAGAUGGCCAAAGCAUGAUGUCUUGAAUUGUUCUAAUUGUUCCGCACUCAACUUCGCUCGAAUUGCAGCUAGAGAUGAAUUUGCAUGUGAGCAGUUGUUCACCCGUGAUGAAUAUACCUCUGCCUCUGGCCAUACCAGCUCCACGUUGGAUCCCAUUUCCUCAAAUACAAUGUGAAAUAACGUGAACAUAUAUACUACCACGUAUUUGCACAAUCACAACUAGUCAACCAGGCACAUUACAACUUUUACAAAGUACAUGAGCAUAUGGAUUACUCAUCACAGGCUUUAACAUCAUCAAAGCAAUAUGACAAUUUUUGUGCAAAUACCUGUUAAUGCAAUGAUUAUGUGAAUUACAAACAAUUUCACGUGUUUUAUUUAUGGAUCCAUACUCGUGUGAGUGCAAUGUAGGCAAGUUCUGCACUUCACACACAUGACAAUUAUUGUCAUCUCAUACACAACCCAAAAUAAAUAAAUAAGAAAUAUAGUGGAAGGAAGCAAAGCAAAGCAUGUACUCUGCUAUCUGCUUGCUAAGCAAUUGCCACAUCCUUCUUUCUUUCUACCUUUUUCUUCAGUCACCCACAAUCGUCAUAGAUCAACCUUCAUUUCAAAUGCUUUGCACUUUUAUUCAUGAGUUUAUUAUUAUCUGUUCUCAUUUCUCAUAGGCAAAUUUAGUAACAAAUGAAAUAAUAUUUAUUUCACAAAAUAUAUAAAUUCUAGUGCCAGAGAGGUACUCUUCACUCUGCACUGCUUCAAAUGUGGAAGGUUUUGAGAUGUUAUUGACAUGUGAUUGACUUUAUUUUCAUUCGUUUUUUAACAUAUACCCAAGCAAAAAUUAACAUGCAAUUGAAGCACAAAUAAGAGAUGCCAAAUCCAACAACAUUGAUGGUACAAAUUGGGGAAAACCAUUACUCUAACCCUAAACUCAAAUUCCUUACAUUACUCAUCAAAUGCUUUGCAGUUCUAUUCAUGAGUUUAUUAUUAUCUGUUCAAAUGUUUCUCAGGCAAAUUUAGUAACAAAGGAAAUCAUAUUUACUUCAUAAAAUAUAUAUAUAUAUAUAUAUAUUCUAGCGCCUCUUCUUAAUCUGCACUAUGCACUGCUUCAAAUGUGGAAGGUUUUGAGGGCCUCCUCCAAUUCAACACCAUUAUCUUAUUCAUAUCAUUAUUGACAUGUUAUUCACUUGUUAUUGACUUCAUUUUCAUUCUUUUUUUAACAUAUACCUAAGCAAAAAUUAACAUGCAACUGAAGCACAACGAAGAGAUGCCAAAUCCAACAAAAUUUAUGGUACAAAUUGGGGAAAACCAUUACUCUAACCCUAAACUCAAAUUCCAUAAAUUACUCACCAAAUGCUGGUUAUUGCAAGGUGUCUGUGUGGGGUCUUUCUGUUUCUUUGCUCCACAAAUGGAACCUACCACUUCCAACGAAUACAGCUUUUCCCCUUCCCCUUCCACUGCUUCGCCUCUUCACUGAUUUGGAAUCCACACCUUUGCCCCUUCUACUCCAAAUAAAUACUUUCUCGGGGUCUGGAGAACGGAGUGGCGAAUCGUUGCCUUCAACUGUCGUUAGCCGUUGCCUUCAUUGGGUAUCUCAGACCUCUGUGUUUUAGAGAGAUGAGUUCUUUCUGUUCAAACUUCGAACUUGCCUCUUCUUCUUCUUUUUCGGACGUGUUUCCCUCUUCUUCUUCUUUUUGGACGUGCUGGAUAUUCAAUUCGGGUUUGGGUUCCUUACCUACCCAAUUGUGAAACUUUAACUCAAUUCUCCCCAGCCCUUGGAUUAAUCUGAUGGCUAUAAAGUGAACCCCUUAUAACUUACCCCUUAUAACUUUCCACUCAUUAUAGUCUUGGCCAGGUAUGGCGGCCAUGCUAGUAAGUGUUGGGUCUUUGACCCAACUUAAGCUAAAUGGGUCAUAAGAUGACCGAUCAUCUUAUCUCAUAAGGAUAUAUAAGUCAUGUUAUGAUUUAGGAUUUUAUAGGGUUUCCUUUGUAAGAGGUAAGAGAGAAACAAGCUCUCUCUCUCUCUACACAAGGAGGUCAGCCAUAGCAAGGGAAAGGCUCCUAGCACUCUCCUCUCUCUUAUUAUAUCAUCCUUCCAAGGACAGCUUUGGUAUGGUAAAGUUGGAGGUUGCACACUUUGUGCACUUUGGUAAGAACUCAUCCAAGGGAGCCAAGAUUAAAUUGGUUAGCUGUUGGAUUAAAUUGGUUAGCACGAUUCAACGGUUAAUAGAUAAAACUUCACAUAAAAGUCAUAUAUAAGGCCCUCACUAUAGAAUGACUCGUUAGUUUAGUCUCUUGUUACAUAUCAAAUGUUAGAGAUAUUUUUUAAUAAGGAUCUGCCAUACCACAUAGUUGGAUAAGACAUUAUACACGGCUUUUGUAAGAGCAUCUCCAGCGCUCCAAACUAGCCCAAGCAGCAGGGGGGCCUAAGUCUAGGAAGCAGCUCCAGCUCGCAAGAUUCAACCCAGGCAAGGUGUGGAACCCACGAGGAGAUCUAGCCCGUCACCUUGCCUUUGGGUUUCAGUCAAGCUGAUGUCAACGAAAGAAUUUCAAAUUUUUUUUACCGUUACAAUGUACGCGCCAACGAUAAAUUUUCUUUGGAUUUCUUGCAUUGAUCCACAGCUACCAAAAACCAACAGCUACAAGCCACGUGGCUUCUCCAGGAGCCUCCGAUCCAAAAAUCAUGUCAAAUCUAACGGCAGUCCAUUUUUUGGCUAAAAAUAUCAAAAAAUUAUGGAAACAUGUUCUAUAAAUUCCUACAAAUAUUAUUCACUUCCCACACCAAAUCUUCAUACAAAUUCAUAUCCUUUCAAUAUUUUUCACUUUCCAUACAAGAUUUUCUACUACUAAGUUUCGUUUGUGUAAAAAUACAAAUGACCUCUUCUAUCGAAGCCGGAGGCGCGUGUACAACCGUGGAAGAUAUUUUGUUGCGUGAGUGUUGGGUCAAAGUUGGUCAUUCCCUGAUCACGGGCAAUGAGAUGAAGUCCUCUCGUAGGAGUUUCUGACAUCGCAACGAAAGUAAGAUGUGAUAUGAAAAUGUAAGGAAUUUGAUGAGAGGAAUGGGAUUUGAGGAGUUUGAUGUAGGAAUUGAUGUAGGAAUUGAAUUUGGGAGGUAUGUAUAUAAGAUUUGAGGGUAUGUGUUUAGGGAUUUUGAUAAGAGGAUUUGAGGAAUUUAGAUUUGAAGGAUUUGGAUUUGGGGAAUUUAAAUAUGAGGAAUUUGAUUAGGGUUUGGGUUUGAAUAUGUGAAAUUUGAUAUGAGAGUUUAGAGACAACAGAUGAUCGAUUGCUCUGAUACCAUGCUAAAAUAUGAUAUGGUUUGAAUACUUUAGGUUGAGUUUUAUUCUUUUCCAUAAAAAGGUAUAUAUAGGAGUUUACAUGAGUGCUUUACAAAGAAAUAGAUACAAUAAUCAAUUAGGAUAAUAUCUCCUAAUUAUACAAUAAUUUGUCAACUAUAUAGAAUAGGAAAGUAAAUUCCUUAAUUAAUCAAGAAAAUAAAUCUCAUUGAUUAAUUAGGAGACUAACGUCAACAUUUAUAAGCCAUAAAAGAGCAGAAAAAGAGGUACUUAGGAGAUUUUAUACGUCGGACUAAGGUAAGCUUAAAGGACUAUAUCAAAAAAAUAAGGGACCAAGAAGCAAGACAGAGAAGUUGUUAUGCAAACCCAUUAAGUUUAGCAGUGAUGAAUUUGUAAAAAUCAUUCUAGUGGAUUCUGCCUUCACUAUUGAGUUCUUAUUGAGGUUCUAUCUGAAAGGAUCUGGACAUGAAGGAGACCGCUUAUUAAACAAACCGUGGAUGUUUACAGCCUGACAUGUGGUUGCUUGAAAAUCAGCUCCCAUUCUUUAUUCUUGAGGAUCUUUAUCACACAUACAUAAUAACCGACUCUUUUAGGAAUUAUUACAGUACUCAUGAUCAUGAGAGGCUUUCAAUAAUUAAUAUUUCUAAGAAUUUCUUCACAGCCGGAAUAUUGAAUUUGGAGGGGAAGGGAGACAAAUGGAACAGAAUAUCAUCUUCUUCUAGUGUUGGAAAUUUUAUAUUAUUUAAUAAUAUUUAAUUUCUAUUGUGAAUGAAAAAUAAGUUUCUUUAAGAAACGUGUGUCUUAGGCCAGUUUUUCUAACUGGUCGGCUUCCUUAGAUUUGUGCCUAUUGCUUUUCAAAGUAUAAUGAUGCAAUGGUUGUAUCUCGUUCAGGCAAAUGGAAGGUAUAUAGCAAUUUAUAGAACAAUACAGUAAUCCAGAAGAAAUAUUAUGAAAUGAAAAGAAUAAAAAGUAAAAAAAGAGAAAGAAAGGAAUUCCCACCUGCAAUGUAUAUGUAUGAAAGGAAGGACCAAGUUUGUUUUAAAAUGGUAAGAACAAGUUGAUUUUAAAUUGGGUUCAGAUCAACUCAUAGAUUUCUUGCCUUUUCUGUUCUCCUUCCUUGGACAUGAACUGUUUAAUCUUGGACUCUUCCCCAUCAUGUUGGGCCUGUCUUCUUCUUGAGGAUUGUAUAGGCCUAGGAAAUGCUUCGGGGUAGUUUUUGUGUUUUGGGCAUUGGGACCCAACUUCACAAAAAGAAAACAAAUUUGACCAAAACACAAAUUUGAAGGACAUUGAAAUUGUACCCGUAGGAUAGAUUAAAACACUAUAAGGGAGGUAAAUAGUACGUUUACAGAGUUUAAGUGUAAUAAAGGAAUAAAAACAUGCCCAGAGAAUUGAUAAGUGAUAUCAAUUCUUGAAUAUACGUGAAAAUUAUUUUAUGUGGUUAAACCCCACCUCUGGGGAAAAUCCACGGAACUUCUUAGUCCAACUUCUAUCACUUAUCCUAGACACAUUCUAGAUAAUGUUUGCCAACCUCUUCGUAACUCAACUUCUGUCACGAGAUGAUCUUUCAACACUUUAUGUCGAACGCAAUACUGGUCACGAUUUCUUCAAGCUCGCCGGAGUUCUUCCAAUUCUCCUUAUAUUGAAUCUGAUACUAGUCACGAUCGAUUCAAGCUCAUCGGAGAAAAAUCGCCACAACAAUCUUGGUGCCCUCAACCGUAUGAGUCACUGAACAUGCAAAUGAAUACAAUAUGAAUGAUAAAAGUGUUUGAUAAAUCACCAAGUUAUGGAACACUUGAUGAUUUAUCUCAAAUAAAAAUUCAGCUUUCCAAAGUUUAUGAAUUGAAAAUAUGACCGUUAAAGCUCUCUAAACAAAGAAGACGAAGGUCUUAUUUUAUAGACUUUUACUUUACAAGAAAGAAAACACGUUGAAAACCAAAUCUCCAAUUUCCAAGGCUUGACAGAAAAUCACAAAAUUAUCUUUCCUAUUCUAGAGAUUGGUCACAUGAAGUCCAACCAAUAGGAAAUGAGAUAUUUAAGAAAGGAAGAUUUUGAUCAAUAUCAAUAUCAAAUGAAUUCUUAUACGCCUAGUCAAUUGUUAUGGGUAUCUUGACUCCUUGAUAUUGUGAUAUGAUUGAAACAUGAUUUCCACGUUAGAAAAUUAAGGGGAUGUUAAAACAUGAAGGUAAUAGGAGAAUCAAAUUGAUUUGGGCCAAAAUUGCCUAAAAAGAAAACACUCCUUAAUAAACUUCAAUUUACUUUUAAAAAUAGUAAAACGUGAUUGAAUCGUUCUUUAAAACAAUUCCCUAAUAUACAUGCAUGAUAGUGAUAUCACUUACCUUUGAAUCAGAUGGCUUUCACGGGUCAAGCCACAAGUUUUUGUCUUGGGGAUUGCUGAGCUUCAUCAAUCCUGCCAAUGUCAAUUUUGCCCCUAAGCUCUCUCAAAGCACGUUUACAACCUAUGCUAACAUAUAUUAGAGUUUAUGUUAGUAUCAAGAAAAUGCCAACACUAAUUUCGUAACACGUAGAAAUUGUUAGAGAUUGAAGUUUUUAUCAUUUUUUCUUCCAGACUCUCCACCACUCACUAAUAUAGUUUACUCAUGUGAUGAGUUUACAAAACCUAUUUCUCUACUCUCACAAAGACUAUACUUAGGGGGGUGUAUUCAAUUAGGAUUCUAAAGCGUUUAAAAAGAUUUUGUUUAAGUGCCAGCUUUCAUAGAACUUGAUGGAACUUUAUAAUUCGUAUAGAACUUGAUAGACUUUCAGAAGACUUCUGUAUAAUUUUUUAAUAAAACUUUCUUAAGCUUUCAUAGAACUUGAUAGGCUUUCAUUCCAAACUUAUGUAGAUGGUAUAUUUCAUUUUAUCCCCAUCCUUGACAUUUAAAGAAAGAAACUUGAAUUUUUUCAAUCAAAUUUGUUUUUGUUACCAAAGCAGCAAAAACAAAAAGUACUUGUUUGCGAUGGAAGAACAUAUGCACAGUUCAAAAUGAAAAGAAUAAGAAGCAAAGUACCUAUUUGACCAAUGAAUGCUGUGUCAACUAGAGAAGCAAUUGGAUCGGCUGUCAAAGCCAAUGCUGCAGGCAAUGCAUCGAUGGUCCAAAUUGCAAUAAAAAAAUAUUUUGAAUAAUGGCUCUUGCAGACAAAGACCACAUAAAUUCUGAACUGGUCUAGCUUGAAUAAUAAGGUUAGAUUAGCCAAUUGAUGAGAUUAAAAGCAAAGCAAGUUGAUGAAUUUAUCAUCAACUAUUUAAUAACCACAGUCCUGAUCUCUUGGACCCCUGUAGUCCAAGAGAUUUAUGGUCACCCACCGUUGGAUGUAAAUUCAACGGUUGACUUGAAUCGGGUAAUAAUCAUUUAUGUCAUAUUGCAUUUAUAUAUAUCAUUUUGAACCAUUGGAUUAAUAUCCAACGGUGGGUGACCACAAUCUCUUGGACUCCUGUGGUCCAAGAGAUCGGGACUGUUAAUAACCAAUAGAGUAUUUAAACAUAAACAACAAUGUUUGAUCAACAAAACAAAUAGUCCAAAUAUCAUCCAAAAAACAAUAACAAAAAAUCAAUCAUUCCAAACAAACUAGUCAUUCUCAAAAACUCUCAAAAAACCCACUCAUUCCAAAUUGUAGGAUAUCCAAUUUGAGCACUCCUCAGGAGACAUUUUCAAAAAUGCAUCCUUUUUUGUGUUACUAUGCAACAAAGAGAGUGCUUUAUAACGAGCAUGUUCAUCCAAAUUUGGGGUCUCCUUAAUGGCAUCCCAUAUAUAACUCCGCUGCUCUCUCUCUUUUUCCCUUUUUGCCAAUAGGUUAUGGACCUCCCGGAAGUCGAUGACAAUUGAAUCAAUGCUAAGGCUAAUUCUUCCCAUAGCUUGCUGGGUGGUCACAUUUGAGAUAGCAUUCCCUUCCAAAUAUGUUCUAGUUCGUUUCCUCUAGUAACAAGCAUAAAUCCUAGUAACAAGCAUAAACCCUAACCCCAACCUAUAACCUAAUAACAAGAAGAAAACCCAACGAGGUAUUGAUCAAAGAAAAAUUAGGGAGCAUACCUUCACAGAUGGAGGAAGGAAGCUGUUCGUCUUCGCAGAGAGAAAAUCUAGGGAAAGAGAAAAACGUCUUAUGAAAUACUUGGGGGGGAGGUUGGAUUUAUUUUGGUCUUUUUUAUUUAUAACUCUCCCCUUAAAACCUACGUAAAUUUAUCACUUAAUGAAAUCCUUCCAAAUAUAUGACCUUUCGAAUACACCUAGAUUUGAUUCAACUUUUUUAUAAUCAUAAUUGAAUACACCCAUAUUUGAAUGGACUUUUUAAAAGUUCAUAUAGGUCCGAAAUGAAUAUACUCAAACUUGUAAAACCUCUUUUAAAGUUUGUAUAAAUCCAAAUUGAAUACACCUGGAUUUUUAAAAUCUUUUUAAACACUUUAUAAUCCUAAUUGAAUACACCCCCCUUAUUCUCAAAAGACUAUAUUACUUUACCUCUAUCUCUGUGAAAUGUAAAAAGUUGAAACUUUAAUGUCAAACCUCAACAAAAGAUGAACUUUCAUCAGUUACGUUGAAUUUGGAUUUGUUGAACUUAAGUGGUUUUAUUUUCUUUGUCAGUGUUUGAUGACUUAAUUUGGUAUUUAUUUCUUCUUUUUUUUCCUUGGAAAUGUGUUCCACCAACGUGAGGAAGAAAAAUAUGCACAAAUUAAUAUAUUUAAUAGAAGCCCAAGAUUUCGGAUGCAUAUAAUUUCUACAAAAAUCUACAAAGUUUUUUACUUUACAAACUUCUUAUGUCUACCAAUUUCUACUAAAAUUAAUUUCUCUGUGGUGCUCAAAUUCAUCAUAUGUGUGUCGUUAAUUUUAUUGAAAAUUGGAAGUUCCCAUCAUUUUUGUUUUUUGGGAAUUUUCUGAACCAAGGAAAAUCAAGUAAAAUUAAUAAAGCCUAAAUUGGAAAGGGAAAAUAUCUAGAGGAUGCAUUGUAGGAUUGCUCAUGCCAAUAAUUGUACCCUCUAAAUAUAUAGAGACAUAUUUUUUUUGUUUUCAUGACAUGUGGUCCUAAAAUUAUUGUGUAAAUCUUCAAUCCUGAACGAUGCACCUAAAACUCAUCCACCCAUUCUCAGGCCAAUUAUUGCACCUAGUGGGCUCUCGACCCCCUCUCAAAUUUAACCACAUAUUUUAUGGACCAUCCAGCUGUGAGGUACAUUCCCCCCACAUGCCACAAUUGUAUAUUCACAAUUACGUCUGAUACAUCACAUCAUGCCACUUGCCUCAAAUGAAUUUAAGUGAGUGAGGCAGUUGGAAGUAAUUAAGCUCUAUAUUGGUGGGUGGAGUGUUACUUCUCGGUUCCCCUCAUCAUUCGUCUAUAAAAUGGUGAAGGCAGUUGCUAUUGUUACCAUAAGAGCCAGCUCCGACUUCCUUUAAUUUCUUGCUUCAUAUCCACUAGCUACAUCUGUUACCAAGUUAAUUUCAGUUCUAAUGGGGUUUCAUCUCCCACUCAUCUUUGCUCUUCUCAGUGUAAGCUCUGCAAUUUGAUUAACUUUUCCAUUCUCUCUCAUUGUACUCUAUAUAAACGAAAGUUUUGUGUUCCUAUUGUUCUCUCCGAUUUUAUUUAGUACGUACUUAAGUGUCGUCCACUAAUUAAUUAUACUUUGUGAUUUGAUUUUAAUUUGAGUUUGAAUUAAUGUUGCAGCUAGCAGCAGUGGCACUGGCAAACCAUGCUGCUCAACCAGCACCUCAACUUUACUGGAGCUCCGUCCUGCCAAACACACAGAUGCCAAGAUCUAUCAGUGAACUUCUGCAUCCUGGUUUGUGUUGAGCUCUUUAGAAUCUUAGAUAUCUCUUCUACCUGCCAUUUUACUAAAAUAUGUUCCACCACAUAUUUAUCAGUUAACCAUUGUCAUUACAUGAGUGACACAUAUUCACAAAUCGGCUGAUCACUUAUUUUCCAUUAUGACUUGAUAUAUAAUUUGCAGACUCCACAAAUGAAGAAAAGAGCACAAAUGACGUUGGCAAACCUGAAACUUUCCCAUUGGGCAAUCAACAUUACUCCAGUCAAAAACAUUAUGGAGGCAUACCUGAAACUUCCCCAUUGGGCAAUAAACAUUACUCCAGUCAAAAACAUUAUGGAAGAGGCAAACCUGAAACUUUCCCAUUGGGCAAUCAGCAUUACUCCAGUCAAAGACAUUAUGGAAGAGGCAAACCUGAAACUUUCCCAUUGGGCAAUAAACAUUACUCCAGUCAAAAACAUUAUGGAAGAGGCAAACCUGAAACUUUCCCAUUGGGCAAUCAGCAUUACUCCAGUCAAAAAAAGUAUGGAAGAGGUGCUUCUCCAUCCGACAAUCAACAACUCCAUUAUAAAGACUUAGCUAUUUUCUUCUUGGAGAAGGACAUGCGCCCUGGCACAACAAUGAAGUUCCAAUUCC